CUUUCUCAAGUAAGCACAAGGGUUGACAAUUAUGCUUCCAAGUUUUGGCAUUGCUCCAGCCCCUAUCGUCCACUCCUCUAGCCAAUACAUUGAUUUCAGGUGCAAUACCUUGAGCUCCGGGAAACCACAAGAGCAAACACAAGCCAGUUUUCUUCCUGAAUAUGAGUUCUGCUUCAAUUUCAGCACUUGAAGGUGUGGAAGCUUGUCUAGUGUUAGCAUGGUAUCCUCCAAUAACUCAGUAUUUGAUAAGCUUAGAUGGAUCAGACUUGGAGAAGCUGGUAUUUAGACAGGGCCAUCCGAGAGAGCUACCACCUCUUGGUUUCGUUCACCAGCUUCAAGCAUUCAAGUUUAAUAAUGAUUAGUUUUAGAUUAGUUAAAAUGUAAUCAUGAUUAAGAUAAAUAUAUAUAUAUAUAUAGCUGCUGUACUGAUAUCAUGGAUUAAGUGUUGAGAAAUAAAAUUCAUUAAGCAUUUCCAGAACUCUUGAUUUUCUUUCUCAGUAACCAAGCAACUUCAAUCACAUUUUUUUUUUCCAACAAUGAGUUCUCAAACCACUCAGGUAUCAUUUUCAGACAUUCUUGGCCUUGUACUCACCAUCAAAAUGGAUUGGUUGAGAGAAAACAUAGGCAUAUUGAUGGUUGUCGAAGCCAGCAAAAAUAAACACCUACUCUAAAUAAAUUGUGUAUAGUAAUUGAGCAGGGUCGUGUCCACGAAAAUCGGUAAUUAUUUAAAUCUUUUUAAAAUGUAAAAUACAAAAUGGGGGAAUUGUUGACGAUAAUAAAAAUCAAAUUAAAAUAACAAGAAUGCAAAUUAAAGUUGUAAUCCAAAUUGGAGAAAGCUCUGGUUGAAGGAAUUAACUCAGCUUGAUUCGACUACUGAUCAUUGAUUCAAAUAAAUAUUAUUACUACUUAUGAAUAGACCGGUUAUAGCUACUGAGACCCUCUAAUAGCCAGUCUCUCCUUAACUAGCCGAUAACCAAGGUACGACCUUUGGUUAUUUCCCUAAUCAAUAGACAACCCUAGAUACGAUCAUAAGAUUUAAUCAAUUGACAGUCUGAAAAACCAGAGAGACCCAAAUCCUAAUCAACAAACACAUACGAUGGUUCAUUUAAAUUAGAUUGUUUAUUCUCACAACACAACUCUCUGCUAUGUUAUUUGUCACAAACAUUAAAAUUUUCAUACGAUGAAUCCUUUAAUUGACAUUAGAUUAAGUUGAUAAUUAAAUAGUGGCCAAUUAUCUAAUUAACAAAAAUAAUCAUGAUAAUAAUUCAGAGAAUAAACAAAUACCCAAAAAGUAAUAAAACAAUUAAAGCAUAAGAAAGAUCUCACAGUAGUGAUGAAUCAAAGCUUCAUUAACCUUCAACCAGAAUAAUAAGUUUAGUUCUUCAUAGAGAGAAGAGAAAAAUUUAGAUCUAGGGUUUUCUCUUUUCCCCAAUAAGUCCCUUUUUUCACAAUAGAUUCCUCCCUUAAAUACUCUCUCUCUCUUCUCCUCUAGAAUUCUAUUUAAAAUAAAUACUAAUAUCUGAAAUAUUAAAUUCGUAAUUACAAAAAUAACCAAAAAUACAAAACACGUUAAACUAAAAACUGCAGGUCCGUAGUUGACAGCACAAGCCCACGCCUUAUCAACAAAGUUCUUCUGACGCUCAUAAUUUCUCCAAGAGAACAAUAAUCCUUAAACAUCAUCUUGUAGCUCAAUUUUAUCACCAAUCAAUAGAAUUGCACCUACAAAAGUAAAACACAAGUAAAUCACUAUUAUUAAGUGCAAAACAUCGAUAUUAAGGGAAGUAAACAAUGCAAAACUAGUGCAUAAAUUGCACUCUAACAAUUAAGUUUGACUCUGUUGGCUCAAGCUCAACUUCCUUUUAAAUUCUGGUGGGAUGCAUUCCAUACUGCUCUAUAUCACAUCAAUAGAUUACCAUCUUCUGUUUUCAAACUUUCGACCCCAUAUGAGAAGAUAUUUAAGCACAAACCUGAUUAUGAUUUUCUCAAAUGUUUUGGUUGUAUUUGUUAUCCUUACUUGAGAGACUAUAACAAACAUAAGUUUGCCUACCAUUCCAGUAAGUGUAUAUUCAUUGGUUAUAGUCCUUCACAAAAGGGUUAUAAAUGCUUACAUUCUUCAGGUCAUGUCUAUGUGGCAUGACAUGUUAUCUUUGAUGAGUCAACCUUUCCUUAUGCUACUGAAUCUGUUUUUCAUAGUCACACAAAUUCUGAUUCUCAUUCUUCAAACUUAUUUACUCCACAGCAUGUCUAUUAUCUUUCUACUUUACCUGUCAUACCAGUAUUUCUAAAUAACAACACUGAUAAUCUAAACUCUACAAAACUAAAAUGCCAGCUUUUUGGUGUUAGCGAUAGGAAACAACUUACCACAACCAUUAAUUAUCCAUAAUUUCAUUGUUUAUCCUCAGUUUUCUUCAUAAAUGUUACAGCAUUCUUCAUGAGAAAGUGCAAGGGCAUCUCAAAAGUUCUGAAAUAAUACCUCAAUUCUAUUGCAAAAAUAAAUAAUCUCAAACAAGAACCAAUAAUCAUAUUUCGUUACUGUCAAACACAAUGCAUCUGAGCAAAACAUUGGAAGCCAACACCAGAAUACAUAUGAAUAAACAAUUAAAGAUAGAGAAAAAAGGCUUAAACCUUGGGGGAAAAAAGUGAAAAAACAUGAAAGACAAAUUACACAUGUGCAGUAACCAUCGAACUUAUCAGUGACAGCUGCAUCCAUUACAUUGCUCCAACAACACAAUGGCAAACCACCAGUUUCAAAUUGAGGAUAGCUCUCGAGAAUGAGAAAGUGUCCAAAACGUCAUAAAUAGACAUGUUCCUAUUGUGCAUAAUUUACAUUAUAGGCAAAUAUUCUUAUACCAUCAAAGGCAAAACAUGACACUAACAAUUGGGAAUCCACUCCCCCCUUUUCCUUUUUUACCCUCAUAAUUAAAAUAAAUAAAUAAUAUUUAAUAAAAUAAAUAAUAUCAUAUUUAUUAAAAAUAAUAAUUAUAAACAUAUUUAUUUUAUUAAAUUUAAUAAAAUAAAAAUAAAUAAAUAUUAUAUUUAAAUUAAUAAUAUUAAACAUUAUUUUAAUAAAUAUUAAUUAAUUAUUUAAUUAAUAAUAAUAAAUAUUUUAUUCUAAGAAAAUAUUAAUUUUGUACUAUAUUAUCAAUAAUAAUGUUUCAUUUGUGUUGCUAUUAUUAAUAAUUUUUAUUCACAUAAUUUAAAUUAAAAUUAAUAAAAAAUUAUGAUUUACAUAAUUAAGAAUAUUAUUAAUUAUUAUUAAUUUAUAAAUAUAAUAAAAUAUUUAUUUUAUUUUUCAAAUAUAUUUUUUAUUAAUUUUGUAAUUACAAAUUAUAAUUCUUUAAAUAAGGGUAAAAUUGUAAUUUAAAACUAUUUACUUCCAAUCCAAGACAAUGUAAACACAUAAAUUGGAUUCUGGUUUCAAUUCCAUUCUCUCAUUCCAUUGUAAGUAAACAACCUACUCCAACUCCCACUCCAAACUCCCAAUCUUAGGAUUCCCACUCCUCAGGAUUCCCACUCCAAUCCAAAAUGUAAACGCAUAUAAAAGUAUUUUGAGCAUUACUGGUCAUUGUCUUUCUAUGAGCCACUUAUUUUGAGCAUUAGCGACCUUAUAAGGAAUCAUGCCUUUUCAGGAUCGUUUUCUUUCAUUUCCCUAUUGUCGUAGUUAAUUAAAUAAAGAACGAACAGCUGAACUUGGUCUAUUUCGAGGAAGACCAAGGCUUCCAAUACUAGAGGAACUUUGAAGAAAAUUAAUUGGAAGCCUUCAUUCAUCUUUGAAGAAAAUUACGUGCCAACGUAACCAAGGCUUUUAUUCAUCUUCGGACUAUGAAUUUAUACAAAGACAUUAACAGAAAAUAACAAAGACACAGCUAAAUGAUAGCAGCAAGUGCUGAUUUAGUGAACCACUUUUACAAGUAAAUAAAAAGUAAAUAUUUAUUUUGACUAUAACAACAACUACCCUCUUGAAUAGGACUCUACAGCAGCCACGUGACAACUAAUUUUUCCAUAAUAUUAUUAUUAGUAGAAGUAGAUUUUCAAACUAGUCUUGAUAGAUUUCAAAGUUGUAUUAUCAAUGUAUAAGUAUCUAGAUUGUAACUAUAUUUUUAAAAAUAAAAUAUUUUAAUUAUUGCACAGUAAAUGUAGAAGAAUAUCUGUAAAAUAAUAUUAUUAGGACUAAGAAAAAAUAUUAUUUCAGAUACGUUAUUUAUUUAUUAUUGAAUUAAUAAUUUAUUAAUUUAUUGAUAAAUGAAUAUUUAUUAAUUUAAAGAAAGACUUUUUUGGUUUUAUGAAGAGUUUGUUUGGUACAUGCACACACUUAUAAAGAAACAUAAAAAGUGCUUCCUCAAGUCAAUGGUAUUUGCUCUAAUCGCUACGAUUCAUAAUAAUAUAGCUUAGUUAGGAAAUUUGUAAUUAUAAUAUGAUUCUUUUAAUACAACUUUUCAAGUAGAGCUUAUUUAAGUAGAGAUUUUGUUAAUAGAGGUAUUAUAAAUAAAGAUUCCACUAAAAAAAAUUUAGUUGUUUGAUUAUAAUGUCCAAAUUGAUGAACUUUUAUUCUUUUGUUAACAUCUGUUUGUUUUACUUAAUAAUAAAAGUUUAGUUUACAAUUACACCGGUAUCAAAUCAGCAGAGCAUUGUUGUUUUACUUUAUAAAAGCAUCGGCAAGAGUUUUCGAUUGUUGCAACUUGCAAUGCACGCGGUGAGAGAAAAUGAGAAUCUUGUUUAAUUGUCAAUAAUGACAAACCUAAUCCUUUCAUUAGGAGUAAUUUAAUAAUCGUUUGUUAUAAUUGAAUAGGUAUAAAGAAAGGACAAUUCUAUUCAUAGAUUCGACUUAUUUUUUUGUUUAAAGUAAGUAAUCAUUCAACCAUCUUCAUUUGCCUCUGGCCAAUGCCCUAGUAGAUUAGUUGAAGCGUUAAUUACUUAAUUCAGAUAAUUACAACGUCCUUUUCGCUAAUUAAUUAUGAUUAUGUACAUUUUCAUAUAGCAAGUGGCAUUGUAGAUAUAAACUAAGUUGCUAUUUCAAUACGUUAAUCAAGUGAUUCUCCUCAUUGUCAUCAGCGUCAUACCCUCUAGGAAAAUAGCUCAAUUGUUUCCAUGCAUUGAUUUUCAUUGGUAUGUGAUUUCAGAUUUCUUAUGAAAUUCUUUUGAGCUUUCCUUAUUAAUUGAUUUUCAAUUAACUUGUGAACGAUUUUAUACCCUCUCUUUUUUUUUUUUUUAAGUACUCUAUUGAAAGCCAAAGUUCCUUUGGCCAGUUAAUUUAGAAGUGAAGGAAAGAAUAAAGUUAGUCCUCGACGUCUUUUGAAAUUAGAAAUACAUUUUGAAUGCUUUAAUAGAUGCAGAGCAAACUGGCUCGAUAUCUAACUAUUUUAAGAGCUAAAAUCAUUUAAUAGAAGUUGUAGCAUUAAAAAAAAAAAAAACUGGCUUGAUAUCCAAUUUUGUUAUUGAAUAUGUCUCAUGUGAGAGUAAAAAAAAACUGGCUUGAUAUCCAAAAUUUAAAGGUAACUCCUUGAAUUUGAUUGAAAAAUUAUUGAGACGGACAAGUUUGGACCAUUGUUCGAGACUGAAACUACACAUCAGUCUUAGAAAAUUGUAAUUUUGUUGGCUUAUCAUGAUUUUGAUCGCCUCACAUUGAUUUUCCUAUGGCGUCUCUGUAGAGUGGCUAUGCUUACAUUUUUAGGUAUUUAAUUCUAAAAAUUAACUUAUUAGAUGGAAGGAACAAUUCUACCUGUAAAUCCAAGUGGCUUCCCUUUACCAACUCAUACAAGACACAACAAUAAUCUUCUUCGGAAAAAACCACCGUCGGAGGGCUAUUUUCGUUCAACAUAUAUGAGUUGUUCCGCCACCAUAUUUUAAGGGUUUGCUUCUAAUACAACUUGGGGGAGCUAGGGCUAAGAUUUCUAAGUAUCAACAUAAAAACCUCACCUAUUGGAUAGAAGGACCAAUCCUACUUAUAAGUCUAAAUGACUAAUUUUUGAGAACACAACUCAACAGACCAAUAUAAACUUUUGACGUCCCAUUUUAUUACUUUCCAGUGCUUUUACUUUUGCUGUCUAUAGCCCUACUAUUCUAUUAAGCAGAAAAUAUUUCAAGGCACUCUCGGUCCAGUAGAUAACUUUGGUAUUUAUUAUCUAUUUUCUUUCCAUUUUAUGUAUACCCCGAUCUUUACCUCUGAUUGGUUGUAGAUUCUUUUGUUGCUUUGGGGUUAGGGGAUGGUUUUCAUAACUAUUCAGUUGAUCAAUGCAGAAAAUCACCUUCAAGAAAUGAUAAAGGAUUGUUAGUUCUAUCUGGCAAACAACAUUAAUAUGAAGGAUGGUGGUUGUUCUGUUCAAGAGUUUAUAAUGACAUAAUUCUACUUUGGUCUUUUAAAAAAAGUAAUUUAGAAACGAGGAGUAUGUGAGUGAUGAUUUUUACAAAAUAAAUUACAUGCGUAGUGAUGAUUUUGGCACAUGAAAAUGAAAAAAGAAAUAUAAAUUGUGAAUAAUAAUUGAAGAACCUGCUAUUGGUAUAUUGAGUAAUCAAGGACUUCAAUAUUCGGACGAUAUAAGCAACACAAUCAAAUAUUAGUUGGAAGGCAUAGCAAAAUUAGAAUGUAGAACAAACUGGGUAUUGAUAAAUGGAUGGUUUUGGAAGAAUUGAAAAUGAUGGCAUAAGUAAACCAAAGUUUAGAGAAAAGAGAAAGAGCAUUUGAACUUUACUUGUAAGAAAAGGCAAAUAUCUUGGUUCAAGAAAAGAUAAGAGAUAUCAAACUAGCAAUAGGAAAAAGGAGGAAGGUUAAGACAGCAUCUUAACAAAAGCUAAAGAAAAGAAAAACUUAGUUCAAGCAAAGAACAAUGUGCUAAUGUCGUGUAAUUUUGUUUAAUUUCUUUUUCUUCUCACAUUUUCCAGGGCUUAAAUAAUACAAUAUACAUUUUCAAGCAAAGAACAAUAUGCAAUUGCAGUACUUCUGAGCACACAACAACAAAUAAAUAAUACAAUAUACAUAGCCAGUAAAUUAAAAAUAUAUAUAUUAUUCAAGUUUGUGGACAAUACUGUAGCCAUGGCGUCGUCGAAAUCUACUGACAGCUGAAACAAAGAAAGAAUGGAUGAAUGCUGGAUCACAGUUGAAAUUGAAGGUCUGGUAGGUGAUGUUUCCCUCUCUUUUUUUACCUAAACAAAUACAAGAAAAUCAGAAUCACAAAUGAAAAUCUGCUAUUACACUGUUCUUACUUAUUAAAAUACAGAGGUUUCUUUGUUUCUCUGCAGCAAUGUCCAUGGCUAUUAGAAACAAGAACAAUUAGACCAGCAUUUGCAAGAAUCCUUUAAGGUAUUACUGCAGAUAUAAAUCGACUGAGGAAAUGGAAAAAUUGAAUACCGAAUUAGGCAAGUUAACUGAAGAUUGAGUUAUCAUAGAAGAAUAAAACUCAUCCAAUUCAAUCCAUCAAAUUCCACAAGGAUACAACUGGAUGUCAUACUGCUGCUCCAUAUCCUCAAGAGCCCGUAGAUUUUGCCUCAACUCUGGCUGAGGCCAAUGUAAGUCCAAUUUGCAAAAGCUCUUUAUGCACCAUAGCUCUUCAGGAAGCUUUCUCAAGUAAGCACAAGGGUUGACAAUUAUGCUCCCAAGUUUUGGCAUUGCUCCAGCCCCUAUCGUCCACUCCUCUAGCAAAUAAAUUGAUUUCAGGUGCAAUACCUUGAGCUCCGGGAAACCACAAGAGCAAACACAAGCCAGUUUUCUUCCUGAAUAUGAGUUCUGCUUCAAUUUCAGCACUUGAAGGUGUGGAAGCUUGUCUAGUGUUAGCAUGGUAUCCUCCAAUAACUCAGUAUUUGAUAAGCUUAGAUGGAUCAGACUUGGAGAAGCUGGUAUUUAGACAGGGCCGUCCGAGAGAGCUACCACCUCUUGGUUUCGUUCACCAGCUUCAAGCAUUCAAGUUUGUGUAGUUCGCAUAGGCUUUUGGAAACCCCAGAACGAUAAUAACUCAAACCUCCAGAUACUAAGAGUUUGAAAAUGAGGUAGUCUGCCUGUUAAAGUAGCUCACUAUGCUGAACGAAAGAAGGAGAAAGCUAAGCUGAAGAAAAUACAGGGCAAGAGUAUUAGCUGUGCCAGCUCAACUGACAGCUCAGCAAAAUCAGUUAAAUUUUGUUACAAGCUCCCUGUGCAUUGUGCUGAAGAUUAGUUAGUUUAAUAAUGAUUAGUUUUAGAUUAGUUAAAAUGUAAUCAUGAUUAAGAUAAAUAAAUAAAUAUAUAUAUAGCUGCUGUACUGAUAGGGCAUCUCAAAAGUUCUGAAAUAAUACCUCAAUUCUAUGGCAAAAAUAAAUAAUCUCAAACAAGAACCAAUAAUCAUAUUUCGUUACUGUCAAACACAAUGCAUCUAAGCAAAACAUUGGAAGCCAACACCAGAAUACAUAUGAAUAAACAAUUAAAGAUAGAGAAAAAAGGCUUAAACCUUGGGGGAAAAAAGUGAAAAAACAUGAAAGACAAAUUACACAUGUGCAGUAACCAUCGAACUUAUCAGUGACAGCUGCAUCCAUUACAUUGCUCCAACAACACAAUGGCAAACCACCAGUUUCAAAUUGAGGAUAGCUAUCGAGAAUGAGAAAGUGUCCAAAACGUCAUAAAUAGACAUGUUCCUAUUGUGCAUAAUUUACAUUAUAGGCAAAUAUUCUUACACCAUCAAAGGCAAAACAUGACACUAACAAUUGAUCCCCCCCCAAAACCAAAAAAAAGGAAAAAACAAUACAGAAAAGAUUGAAACAGAUAAGGCUACACUGAGCACAGGAUGCCAUGAAACAUAAUCCAGGAACCAAAUUAAUAAAAAAGGAAGCCAAACCAUUAUUUAACAAUCUGUUUUGUAUUUGGGAAAGUCUGAUAAAAUCUACUUAGGGAUAAUUAGAGAACCUCAACUAUUAAUCACACCUCAUAAAUGAACUAACAUUAACCAUCUACCAUCCCCACGUCACACAAACAUUCUCUAUACUUCUGAACCUAAUCCAUCUUCAAUUGGGGUUUUUUUUUUUUUUUUUGGGUGGCGGGGGGGGGGAGCUAUCAAUUUUCUAAGCUUGCUUAGCUUCUGUGUGGGAUUGAAAUGCUGAUUUCAAAUCACUAACAGUAAAAUUGGAAGCUCAUGAAAAAACAGUUUUAUCUCAAAAUUACAUCUCGAUAUAAAUUCUCUUUUCAUUUCCUUCAACUUUCUAAUUAAGCUUAAAAAAUGUACCUUCAACCACAAAGGGGUUUAAAAUUUAAAAUAUAAAAAAUAAAUUCAGAUAACAAUAAUUAAUUUAAUUAAAAAUAUAAAUAGAGUUACAGAGAAAGAGAAAUUAGAGAAAGACCUAAUGUUGAGUCCUUUGGCGCAUGUCUCUUCAUAGGUCCGAACCAUUUCUUCGGGCGUGGGUUACGGCCGAGAUUGGAUAAUGAUGGAGGAGGAGAAGAUUAGCGAUGACGACGCCGAUGAAAUGGAAGGGUUUACCAGAGGAGUGGAUGCGAAGAGUGCAGGGACGGCCGCAGAGAGAGAGCAGCGGAGUGCGGCGACGGACGGUAGUGACCAGCGGAGGCGGAAGAUGGCGGUAUGGGCCAUUGCUUGCGCGUCGGUGAGUGUCUCGAGUGAGAGAGUGAAACCUCUACUUAAAUAAGUUCUACUUGAAAAACCGUACCAAACGGAGCUUAAAGUUAAUAGUCUCGUAUCUCCCGCAUUUGAUAUCUUAUUGGCAUCAGCGUGUUACCUAAGAUUGGGAUUCAUUAAAAUCCUCAAUGUAAUCGGUGGAACGAAUGGAUUUCUUCUGUUCACCUAUCCACCAAAAUUUCUGUAAUUAAAUUCAAAAGUCAAGAUCUAUGCUUAUUAUCUAUUCAACAGCUAAUAUUCUAAUUUAUAUUUACUUAAAUAUGAAGAGCUAUGCUUGUAAUUAACUUCAAAUGUGAUCGAAGCAGCCUUACAUCUGUAUAUUACUUAUUCCCAACCUUUUUUUUGACUUCAUAUACUUUCUUUUCAUGUUAUUUACUCUUUUUUUUCCCCUCUCUGACAAUUGAGGUAGGGGGUCAAACUUGAAAGUAUCUUAAAAUCAGACAUUUUUUUUUAAUAAUAACCUAGUUGUUUGCAUUAGAAAUGAUAUUUUUUGUGGUGCUGAUAAAGAGGUUAAUUAUGAUUCAACAAUUUAAAAUAUGAAAACAUGUGGAAGACGGCCGCAAUUAAAUUGAUUGUAUGAAAAUAUUUCAAUGAAAGUUUAAAAAUUUAGUACUUGUUAUCUUAUCGAGAGUUUUUUAAAUUAUAUUACUACUUGAACUUGACUGCUUUUGUAUUGAAUUCCUAGCGUUGACAUUGCUUCUACUCAAAAGCCAUUUAAGUUUGUGUAAGCUACCUGUAGUUUGAACAACAAUUUACUCAUGAAUUCUUGUUCAUAAUAGCAAUUUGAUUGAAAGUGCGGCUGCACUAAUUUUCUAGAUGAAUUUUUUCCUACAUGCUUGUUCUCGUAUGACCCAAAAUCCUGCUACAUCAGUUGUAUUAGAAAUUAAUCAACUGGGUUACAAUUAUGCAUCCCCACCAAUAUUUAAGCAAUUUAAUUACAGAAACAUUUCUUGAGGAAAGAAACUCAUAUCGGCACUAGGCUUUCAAUGAGGCUCAUUUUUAUGAAUCUGGAUAGCAUUAGAUAUCUCUCCGAAUAAUGGUGGGAGUAGAUCGCAGAUCUGGCUAUACUACAAAGUGUAUGUACGUUGACUCUCAAUAAAUACAAAUGAUUCUCUGAUAUUUUUUUUUUUGAUAUUAAUCACGAGAUAUCCUGAGGAGGGCCCCAACUGUGGGAGGCACCUUUAAGCCCGUACCACAACUCAGACUAGAAGUCCCCGCUCGAACCGGGAGGCACAGGUUCUCCCAACAAAGGCGACUUCCCUGCGACUCGAACUGAGGAGCAAACUCAGUCAAUGAUUCUCUGAUAUGAUUCAAAACAUCAGUGCAUGCAUCAUUUUAACUAGAGAGAAUAUUCUAAGAAUGAAAUUGAACGUGCAAUCAGCAACUAAAAUGAAGCCAGAAAUGUACACGCAUGAGGAAUUUUUCCUAGAAGAUUGAUAUUUCUUUAACUAGCAAACCAUACAAGUCCAAAGCUAACCAAACCAUACCUGCAAGUCCGGGGCUUAAAUGGAGUACUUGUAAGCAUAAAACAUUAAUCAAAACACAGUAUAGACACACACACACACCCCUCCCUACAUACAUACCAGCAAAUUCGAAAUAGAAAAAGGAGUGCAACUCACAAAACAGUCGGAGGUGGAAUUCCAGCAUAUCUCCUUCUCUCCGUAGCACUCAGAGGUAUAGUUGAAAGAUUAAACACCAUGGAAUAAUUUGAAAGGAAAAUGCCAAGAAACUGUGUAAGUGGCUAAAUUCCACAAAUAUUACAUUAUUGCUCAUUUUUAUCUCAAAAAAAUGGUACGCGUUCAUUUAGAGAAGAGUCCAAGCCCAGUAACAGGAAUAUUUUAAUUACUACCAUGACAUAAUUGAUGGUGCUUAAAUCAAUUGUUUCUUUUUUAAUUUAAAGAUUUUUUCAUUAAAAAAUAUUUUAAUAUCAAAAUGCCUUCAAUGGCAUUACUGCCGCAAGCCCAGCAACAGGAUUAAUUAAAAAGUUCAGAAUUUUUGGGCAUGGAAACUGGAAAGAGUAUUAAACAUCAGAAAGCUAAGGUUUGUUCUGUUAAAGAAUUGAUAUUGACAUAGUUUUUUUUUUGAGGAAAAAAAAAACAUAUUUGUUGACAAGUAAGGAAAUGUUUUUGUAUUUUACAAUCUGUUAUUACAUAUUUUAUCAUAUUAAAGUAAUUUUAAUAACAAAUAGAAACAUAAUAUUACAAUAAAUAAAUUAAAGUUUAAAUUAUUUUGAAUAUUAUAAAAAAUAAUGUUAAUAUUAUUAAUAGGAAGACAUUUUGUUAAUUUUAAAAUCUUUUUAAUCCAAAGGUUUAUUUAAAAUCUCUAUAAUAAAUACAAAUAUAAGAUUAAAAUAAAAAUCAUAAUUUGAAAAUUUUAAUAUUAUUUUAAAUGUUAAAUAUACUUUAAUGUUAUUAGCCUACUACGUAGAUUUUAUUAUUUAUAUUAUAUUCGUAUUGAUUAAAAUUUUUUAAAAUCAAUUUUUUAGUUAGUACAUUCAAGAGGUAUCAUAGUUAAAGAAAAGAUUUUGGUGCAACUGUUUUAAAAUUUCAGGGACUAAAUGAUAAUUUUUUUAAAUUUUAAGGAAGUUGGUAUUAUUUUUCCGACAAUUUAUUUUAUUUUGAGGGAAAUCCGAUGAGAAAUAUCAUCAGAGAACAUUAAUUUAACAUUCUUUACCUUUAUGAAAAAAGUGAAAAUCAAGAACUAUUCAAUUUUGUAUUUUUUGUUUGUAAUUCAAAAAAUGCAUCCACCAAAUCAAGAACUAUUCAAUCUUGAUUUUCCCAUUUUAUUCAUUUUCGAUGCAUCCCCCACUAUUUUUACAAAUCUCCAUCCCACAUCUACACUAUCAAACAAGUUGAUGGAAAUUGAACCCAGUAAGUUAUGUUCAUUACUGGUCAUUGUCUUUCUAUGAGCCACUUAUUUUGAGCAUUAGCGAUCUUAUAAGGAAUCAUGCCUUUUCAGGAUCGUUUUCUUUCAUUUCCUUCUUGUAGUAGUUAAUUAAAUAAAGAACGAACAGCUGAACUUGGUCUAUUUCGAGGAAGAACAAGGUUUCCAAUACUAGAGGAACUUUGAAAAAAAUUAAUUGGAAGCCUUUAUUCAUCUUUGAAGAAAAUUACCACACUUUAAAUCCUGGAUAAAAAAAAUUUUAUUCAUCUUCGGACUAUGAAUUUAUAAAAAAACAUUGUUAGGACUAAGAAAAAAAUAUUAUUUUAGAUAAGUUAUUUGUUUAUUAUUGAAUGAAAAAUUUAUCAUGAUAAAUAAAUAUUUAUUAUUUUAAAGAGAGAUUUUUUUUUUGGUUUUAAGAAGAGUUUUUUUUUGGUACAUGCACACACUAAUAAAGAAACACAAAAAGUGCUUCCUCAAGUCAAUAGUAUUUGCUUUAAUGGCUAAGGUGCAUAAUAAUGUAGCUUAGUUAGGAAAUUUGUAAUUACAUUAUGGCUCCGUUUGGUAUAACUUUUUAAUUAGAAGUAUUGUUCUUUUUAUUAACAUGUGUUUGUUUUACUUAAUAAUAAAAGUUUAGUUUACAAUUACACCGGUGUCAAAUCAGCAGAGCAUCGGCAAGAGUUUUCGAUUGUUGCAAUUUGCAAUGCACGCGGUGAGAGAAAAUGAGAAUCUUGUUUAAUUGUGAAUAAUGACAAACCUAAUCCUUUCAUUAGGAGUAAAUUAAUAAUCGUUUGUUAUAAUUGAAUAUGUAUAAAGAAAGGAAAAUUAUAUUCAUAGAUUUGACUUAUUUUUUGUUUAACGUAACUAAUCAUUCAACCAUCUUCAUUUGCCUCUGGCCAAUGCCCUUGUAGAUUAGUUGAAGCGUUGAUUUCUUAAUUCAGAUAAUUACAACGUCCUUUUCGCUAAUUAAGUAUGAUUAUGUACAUUUUCAUAUAGCAAGUGGCAUUGUAGAUCUAAACUAAGUUGCUAUUUCAAUCCGUUAAUUAAGUGAUUCUCCUCAUUGUCAUCAGUGUUAUACCCUCUGGGAAAAUAGCUCAAUUGUUUCCCUGCAUUGAUUUUCAUUGGUAAGUGAUUUCUUAUGAAAUUCUUUUGAGCUUUCCUUAUUAAAAAAGCUUGAGCUUUUAUCACCUAAUACGGAUAUCAAUUAACUUGUGAACGAUUUUGUAAUGAAACUAGGAGUUAAAUAAGAUUUUUACAUGAUGAUCAACUUGUUAAUUUUGUAUAUUUCAUAUUUAACAGGAUUUGGGCACGGAACGUUUGGAUUCUAAUAUUUAUAUAUUUAGUUUUAAUCAGUUUGACUUUCGUAAUCUUUCUCGCCUCAUCAUUAAGGGAUUAAGAAUUAGAGAAACAUUAGAAACAGGAAGAAAAUAACUUCAGAAAUAAGUAAGAGGGAAAAAAAUUUAUGAUAUUUGGUGUUGAAAUGAACUAAAAACUCGUCAGUACAACGUGUCGUUUGCAGGUUGUGAAGAUGAGUGCCAUGUCGUUUCAUUUAAGCAAUAUACCAGAACUGACAAAUUGCCAAUGUCGUUCAAGACCAUUAUAACUCACGUGCCUUACGCAUGCCUCUCUUAAGCUUAAACGGCAAAGCUAGCAGUCGUUUAAGGAAGGCUUAUUAAUAGCGCGUGAGAAGCUCGUGCCAGGUUGGUUAAAAGGCCGUUAGAUUUAGAGGGAAAUCUGGAUCUGUUACACCUGCAUCAACUGAUAUAUAAACGAGCUGGUUCUGGUGUUAGCAUGUAUGACCAAGGAGAGAGAGAUAAGGCAUCGAUACUGAGAGAAAAGCUUGACUAAGUGGUCUCUGUAUUAUGUGUGAUUUCUCUGUAACCUUGAAAGCUUAAUAAAACUGCUCUCUGUGUUGGUUUUCUCCAGUGGAUGUAGGCACCCUUCAACAGGUGCUGAACCACUUAAGCUCUGUGUGUUCUUUGCCUUUAGGUUGUGAUCUUUGAUCUGUGCAUUGUUCUUUGUUAAGUGUAAGAUUGGUUCUUGAAUCUUUGAGUCAGAGUUGGGUCUUGGGGUGAGAUUAAUCUAGUAUCUAAAGGGUUAAUCUCUCAACAUUUGGAAUGUAUCAUAAUUUUUUGUUGAGUAAAUAUGUAUGAAUAGUUUUUGGGAGUUUUAGCCAGGAGUCAUUUAUUGAAGAUGUCUAGCAAUUAAAGAUCUCUGUCUCAGUAGUUUUCCCAAUCAAAAUCAAGAAGCAAAAAAAACUUGCCAUUUUUCUACUUGAUAAUUAAUUGAAAUUUAAGAAAAUACAAUGGCAUUUCAAUUAGAAUUGGUAAUUGUUUAUCUUUUUUUCAUUGAUCAAAUUCUAAUCUUUAUGCAAUAGUUAUGAAUGAAAGAAAUAUUAUGAGAGGAGAUAGGUCAAUUGAAGCCGUACCCGCAAAUAAAAAAUAGAAAAGGAGUGCAACUAUUCAACUUUGUAGACAAUAUUGCAACCAUCCAAAGGUGAAGAUCUACGCUUAUUAUCUAUUUAACAGCUAUAUAUAUAUAUAUUUAUAUUUUUAAAUAUCAAGAGCUAUGCUUGUAAAUAAGUUCAAAAGUGAUGAGAACAGCCUUAUAUUUAUUUAUUUAAAUAUUACCCAGAAUACUGCUAUAACAAUUGUAUUUAAAUAAUAAUUGUAUUUAAAUAAAUAACUAUAUAUCUAAAUAUAUAUUUAUUUAUUUAAAUAUCAAGAGCUAUGCUUGUAAAUAAGUUCAAAUGUGAUGAGAACAGACUUAUAUUUAUUUAUUUAUUUAAAUAUGACCCAGGCUAAUUUCUCUGAAUUUUGACAGAGUAGAUUUCUAAGCUAAUGCUUGGCAGAUCUCUGGGCGAUACUACAAAGUGCAUGUACAUUGAGUCUUAAUAAAUAUAAACGAUUCUCUGAUAUGAUUCAAAACAUCACUACAUGCAUAAAUUAAUAAGAAAUGUAUAGUUGUACAUAAUUUUAUGCAUGAGGCAGUUUUUAUAGUUGUACCCUCUCUAAUGAAAUUGAAGGUGCAGCCAGCAACUAAAAUGAAGCAGAAAUGUACACGCAUGAGGCAGUUUUUCUAGAAGAUUGAUAUUUCUUUAACUAGAAAACCAUACAAGUCCACAGCUAGCCAAACCGUACCUGCAUGUGUCUAGGGCUUAAAUGGAGCACUUCUAAGCAUAAAACAGUAACUAAAACACAUACACAAACAUACAUACCAAAAAAUUCAAAAAAUAGAGAAAGGAAUACAACUAUUCAUGUUUGUAGACAAUAUUGCAACCAUGGCAUCAGUUAUAGCAAAUAUUGAAUUACAAUAUUUCCCUUGCCGAUUUUGUCUACACAAGUAAAGGGAAAUAAGAAUCAUAGAUGAAAAUCAACUUUUACAGUUCUAAUUAUUAGAUAGAUACAUAAUGAUCUAUCUUUGUUACUUUGUUUCUCUGCUGCAAUGUGCGAUCCCACUCUGUUUUGAUACUCAAAUUGAGUCUAUGUUGAGACAUAAUUUUGACAUUGGAAGCAAUCCCAAUUAGUUUGGCUUUUGUAUGACCCUUUAAGGUUUUACAAUAGAUGCAAAUCUACUGAGAAAAUGGUAAAAAAAGGUGUAUAUAAAAUGAGGCAAGUAACAGAAGUAUGAGUUAUCAGAUUAGAUUAAAAGUCACCCAAUUCAAUCUAUCAGAUUCCGUAAGGAUAUAACUGGAUGUCAUACCGCCAGUCCAUAUCCUCGAAAGUCUCUAGUCUUUGUCUCAACUCUGUCUGAGGCCAAUGUAAAUCCAAUUUGCACAAGCUCUUUAUGCACCAUAGCUCUUCUGGAAGCUUUCUCAAGUAAGCACAUGGGUUGACAAUUAAGCUUUCAAGUUUUGGCAUUGCUCUGCCCCCAUCGUCCACUCGUCUAGCCAAUACAUCGACUUCAGGUGCAAAAUCUUAAGUUCCGGAAAGCCAGCAGAGCCAACGCAGGCUAGCUUUCUUCCUAAAUACGAGUUCUGCUUCAGUUUCAGCACUUGAAGGCGUGGAAGCUUUUCCAGCAUUGGCAUGGGAUCCUCCAUUCGCUCAGUAUUUGAUAAGCUCAGUUGCAUCAUUCUUGGAGGAAAUUAGUAUUCAGACAGGACCAUCCGUGAGAGCUUGCUCUCAUUCACCAACUUCAAGCAUUCAACUUUGUGGAGUUUGCAUACGCUUUUGGAAACCCCAGAGUGAUAGCAACUCAAAUCUCCAGACACUCUAAGAGUUUGAAGAUUAGAUAGUCUGCACAAUAUAUCUGGCGUGCAACUACUAGGGUGUGAGGCUGAUAUGAAAAUAAGAUUUUUCAGAGAGCUGGAAUAAUUUUUUGGAGGUGCAGGCAGAGAGAUGGAACCAAAGUUCAGAUGCAUGAGUUUUUGCAUCUUCCAAAUAUCCUCUGGUGUUUGAUCUACGUAGCUAGAUGGCAUGUCUAGUGUUUGAAGGUUUGAAAGGGUGCAUAGCGGUGAAGGAAGACAUUUGAGCGAAGGGAUAUUCAAUUUCAAAUACUUCAAAUGGAAUAAAUUUUCUAAUCUGGGUGGAUAUUGGUCCAGGACUGCAGAACCCAUGUUCAAUACCCGAAGGUGUUUGAACAUUUUACAAAAAUUCUCGCAAUCUAUCGGAUUAAGAUGAUCGCUUUCUGAACUGUGAUUCAGAAAAAGAUUGGAGAUACAUGUCCGAAUGUUUCAAAGAAAAGAAUUCAAUCGGAUCAUCGAAAAUGAUGUACCGUUUGGCAUUUGCCAAUGAUUCAUCUUCGAAGUCAGGCGUCCGGACAAAUCCCAUCAUUGCUGCCGUCCCAAGUAACGCAGCAUAUGCAAAAGUUGGAACAUAACACGCCUUAAUUGUGCCUCCAUCUCUUCUCUUAUUUACUUGAAUGAAGCCAUGAUCGAUUAGUUCGUUCAAGUAAUGCUCGGCAGUUUCCUCACUGUUGUAUGGUAUGAAACCUUCAGCUACCCACAGCUGAUAUAAUUGCCUGGUAGAUAUCUCAAUGCCUGGAUGAAAGCUGAGGUUGUCCCUCGAUCAGUAAAUCAAACAAUUCCUCUGCCGCUUUCAAAUUCACUCUUAUCAAGCUGAAAUUGUCCCUCAAUCAAUAAGUGAGUGAAUUCGUUCCUUCGCUCUUUGAAAUCAAAACCAUUGUCUCUAGGCGGAAUUUGUUGCAACUGAUUUCUAAUAUCAAUGAUUUUACUGUGGAUUCCGACAAGAAGAGCAAUGAGUGAGAAAACAACUUGUUUGGUAACCAAAAAAGUAUUGAGAGAAAAUGUAAUGAUUCUGAGAAAUUGCUUUUAUUUCAAUUAAUCGAAUCCAGAGUAAAUGUACAGAGUUUCUUUAUAUACUAACGUAUCUACAUAGCUGAUAUUAGCUAAACUAAUUCAACCAGCUAAUCAUGCUUAACAACUUAUUAUAACUAACUAAAACUAAUAUUCACGUGUACAAGAAAUGAUGUAACCACCAGGUGCUAGCUGGCAUGCCAAGUCAUCAACUUGUAACCGUGAGCUGCAACUGUUACAAUCCUCUGCUUUGCUGACUAUCUGGCUCACAUGAGCUUCCUUAACAUCCCCUCUCAAGCUCAAGGGUCUGUUAACUACAUUGAGCUUGGAACGAAAAUAGCUAAAUUUUGGAAAAGAUAGAGGCUUAGUAAGAACAUCUGCCACUUGUUCUUCAGUAGGAAUAUAUCUAAUCUCUAACUCUUUGUUCAGAACCUUAUCUCUAAUGUAAUGAACAUCCAGCUCUAUAUGUUUGGUCUUGGAGUGGAAUAUUGGAUUUUUAGCUAGAUCACCUGCACUCUGAUUGUCACACCAGAGAAUAGGAGUUGGCAACUUGAUAAUUUUUAGCUCAGAAAACAAAGAUUGCAGCCAUGUAAGUUCAGAACUUGCUGCUGAUAAGGCUCGAUAUUCACUUUCUGUGCUAGACUUUGCCACAAUAGCUUGCUUUUUCGAAGACCAGGAAAUGAGAUUAUUACCAAGGAAAAUGUAGUAAGCUCCAAUGGAUUUCCUGUCAUCAGUGUCACAUGCCCAAUCAGCAUCUGAGUAUCCUGUCAACCCUAUUGUUUCCAAGGUUCCCUCUUGCUGAAUAUAGAGGCCAUAUGUAAUAGUUGCUUGAAGGUAUCUCAACACCUUUUUGCAGGCUAACCAAUGUUGGAGAGUUGGACCACUUAGAUACUGGCUAAGUUUAUGCACUGAGUAAGCAAUGUCUGGUCUAGUUAGAACCAAGUAUUGAAGCCCUCCAACUAUACUUCUGUAAAGAGUUGGAUUUUCAAAUUCUACACCCAAUGAGCCUUUAGCUAUUUUUUCUAAUUUGUAACCAGUGCUGAAAGGAGUUUCAGUUUCUUUACAGUUCUGCAUUGAGGCCUUGGUCAACAAAUCCUUGAUGUAUUUAGUUUGGGAGAGGUGCAUGCCAUGAUCUGUGUAGCUGACUUCUAUACCAAGGAAAUAUGAUACCAGGCCCAAGUCUUUUAAGGCAAAAGCUUUACUCAGCUUUGUGAUGAAUGCCUCCAGCAAGACUGAAUCUGGACCUGUAACUAAUAUAUCAUCUACAUAGAUCAAGACAAGGAUUAUGCCUUUAGUGUCAUGCUUGAUAAACAAUGAAGUGUCAGCCUUAGAAUUUGUGAAAUUCCAAUCUGUAAGACAGCCCUUAAGCUUAUCAUACCAGGCCCUUGGUGCCUGUUUUAAACCAUAAAGAGCUUUGUUUAGCUUACAGAUGUAUCCUCCCUCUGAAACAAAACCCUCUGGUUGUUGCAUGUACACAUCUUCAGUAAGAUCCCCAUUGAGAAAUGCAUUGUUGAUAUCUAUUUGUCUAACAUUCCAGCCUUGCAUAACUGCCAAACUCAAUAUAACUCUGACAGUUGAAGACUUGACUACAGGACUAUAAGUUUAUGAAUAGUCAACCCCAGCUGUCUGAUGGAAUCCUUUAGCAACAAGCCGAGCUUUAUGCUUAGAUACUGAGCCAUCUAAAUUAUACUUUGUUCUGAAGACCCAUUUGCAGCCAACCAGUUUAUGAGUAGGAUCCAUUGAAACUAGAUUCCAGGUUUUGUUUCUGAUAAGUGCAUCAUAUUCCAGUUGCAUUUUAUCUUUCCAUUUAGGAUCAGCUAAAGCUUCACCAACAUUAGAAGGUUCUAAACUGUUGUGUGCUGUCAAAAAUGCCUUAGGUUUGAAUAUACCAGCUUUAGCUCUGGUAGUCAUGGGAUGGACAGAGAUAGUAGGAUUGGAAAGUGAUAAAGAUGGUCUGGAAGGUGAUGUGUGUAAAGAAGCUUGAAAUGGUAUAGGAAGUUCUGGAGAAUUUUGAUGGAUGAUAGGUGAAGAUAUAGUGUUUGAAGUUGCUACUGGAGAUGUUGUGGGAAUGACAGGGGAGGUUAUGGUAUUAGUGGAUAAAAUAGAAUGAGUAGAAGAGGAAGGUAACAAGAUAUUGUGAUGAGAACUAGAAUUGUUAGAAUCAGUAUCUGCAGCAACAGCUUCAAAAGGUUUUAGAUUGCUAUUAGGAACUGAAACAUUAUAAAUAAAAACUUAUUAAAACCUAAUUUAUUUGGGAACCACAUAUUAAAACCUAAUUUAUUUGGGAACCACAUAUUAUUGGUCAGUAGUAUUUCUCAACUUAGCAAGUUAUUUCUAAUUUGUCCCUCUCUAUUAUUGGUUCUCUUAAAGCCAAUAGUGUCGCAUUUGAUAUCUUGCCAUUACCGUUGGCAUUAGCAUGUUACCUGAAAUUGGGAUUCAUUGAAAUCCUCAAUGUAAUCGGUGGAACGAAUGGAUUUCUUCUAUUCAUAAUUUGAUGAUUUUAAUUGAACUAGGAGAUAAAGUAAAAGAUAAAUGGUUGGUUUACUCCAAUUUCUGAAGUGCUUGUAUCUUUUUGGUUGAAUUCGUGCAGUUAAAUAAUCUCUACCAACAUAUGUAUGUAUGUAUGAAAUUGGAGUAACCAGACCUUUUCAAGAGUUAAAUAAUCUCUACCAACAUUGUAGAUUGCCCGAUAAAGUUAACUGUGUUACCCAGCUCCAUGCAUAUACAUUAAAUGCAUGUUUGGGUAGUUUUAUAAAAUGAUAACAGCACGUCAAAACUUGAUGAGUUAUAUUGUCAUAUUCGACAUUUUUAAAUUGAAAAAUUAGCAAGCAAUCUUCAGUGAACAUUACAAUUUUGUUCGCUCUACACCCCAUCAAUAUUUAAGCAAUCUACAGAUCAUUACUUGAGGAAAGAAACUCUUUGCGCCACUAGGCUUUUAACGAGGCUCAUUUCUAUGAAUCGGGAUAGCAUUAGAUAUCUCUCCGAAUACUGGUGGGAGUAGAUUGCAGAUCUCUGGGCUAUACUGCAAAGUGUAUGUACGUUGAUUGUCUGAUAUGAUUCAAAACAUCAGUCCAUGCAUCAUUUUAAUGAGAAAGAAUAUUCUGAGAUUAUUUAUGCAUCACCAUUUGUAGUUGUACUGACUAAUGAAAUUAAAGGUGCAAUCAGCAACUAAAAUGAAGCCAGAAAGACACGCAUGAGGCAGUUUUCCUAGAAGAUUUGAUAUUUCUUUGACUAGCAAACCAUACGAGUCCAAAGCUAGCCAAACCAUCCCUGCAAGUCCAGGGCUUAAAUGGAGUACAUCUAAGCAUAAAACAUUAAUCAAAACACAAUACGCACACACAGACCCCUACAUACAUACCAGCAAAUUCAAAAUAGAAAAAGGAGUGCAACUAUUCAAGUUUGUAGACAAUAUUGCAGCCAUGGCAUAUCAAAGCAAAUCCUUGAAAUGUGCUAAACAGAACAAUGCCCUGUCUCAUGAAUCGACGCUCAAUUACAAUUGAAAUUGAAAGUCCGGCUGGUGUUGUUUCCCUCUCCAGUUUUGCCUACAUAAGUAAAGGGAAAUAAGAAUCAUAAAUGAAAAUAUGCUUUGACAGUUCUUAUUAGAUAUAUAUAAAGGGAUCUUUCUUUGUUUCUCUGCUGCGAUGUGUGGUUAUCCCACUGUUUUUCCACUCAAGCUGAGUCUACGUUGAGACAUAAUUUUGACAUCAGAAGAUACCUCAAUUAGUUUGGCACUUUUACGAUAAACAUAAAUCUACUAAGAAAGUGCGGAAAAAAAGAAAAUGCAUAUAAAAGUAUGAUUUAUCAGAUAAGAUUAAAACUCACCCAAUUAAAUCCGUCAGAUUCCAUAAGGAUAUAACUGGAUGUCAUACCGCCGCUCCAUAUCCUCGAAAGUCCGUAGUCUUUGUCUCAGCUCUGUCUGAGGCCAAUGUAAAUCCAAUUUGCGCAAGCUCUUUAUGCACCACAGCUCUUCUGGAAGCUUUCUCAGGUAAGCACAUGGGUUGACAAUUAAGCUUUCAAGUUUUGGCAUUGCUCCUCUCCCCAUCGUCCACUCAUCUAGCCAAUACAUUGAUUUCAGGUGCAAAACCUUAAGCUUCGGAAAGCCACCAGAGCCGACACAGGCCAGCUUUCUUCCUAAAUACGAGUUCUGCUUCAGUUUCAGCACUUGAAGGUGCGGAAGCUUUUCUAGCGUUGGCAUGGGAUCCUCCAUUAGCUCAGUAUUUGAUAAGCUCAGUUGGGUCAGACUUGGAGGAAAUUGGUAUUCAGACAGGACCAUCCGUGAGAGCUUGCUUUCAUUCACCAGCUUCAAGCAUUCAAGUUUCUGCAGUUCGCAUAGGCUUUUGGAAGCCCCAAAAUGAUAGCAAGUCAAAUCUCCAGAUAUCCUUAGAGUUUGAAUAUUUGGUACUCUGCCCAAUAUAUCUGGAAUGCAACUACUAGGGUGCAAGGCUGAUAUGAAAAUGAGAUUUUUCAGGGAGCUGCAAUAAUUAUUUGGAGGUGCAGGCAGAGUGAUGGAACCGAAGUUUAGAUGCCUGAGUUUUUGCAUCAUCCAAAUAUCCUCUGAUGACUGAUCUAUGUAGCUAGAUGGCAUUUCUAGUGCUUGAAGGUUUAAAAGGGUGCAUAGCAGCGAAGGAAGGCAUUUGAGCGAAGGGAUAUUCAAUUUCAAGUACUUCAAAAAAUAUAAAUUUUCUAAUCCGGGUGGAAAUUGGUCGAGAACUGCGGAACCCAAGUUCAGUACCCGAAGGUGUUUGAACUUUUUACAAAAGUUCUCGCAAUCUAUCAGAGCGAGAUGAUCGCUUCGUGAACUGUGAAGCAGAAAAGAAUGGAUAUACUUGUCAGAAUAUUCUGGAGGAAAGAACUUAAUCAGACGAUCCAAAAUGAGAUACCGUUUGACAUUUGCCAGUGGUUCCUCUUUCAUGUCAGAUAUCCGGACAAAUUCCGUCUUGUCCGCCACCAAAUACAGUGAAAUAAAUUCAAAACUUGGAACAUAACACGCUUUGAUUGUGCCGUUGGCUCUUCUCUUACUCACUUGAAUGAAGUCGCGGUGGAUUAGUUCUUUUAACCCUCAGCUAUCCACAACUGACAUAAUUGCGUGGUAGAUAUCUCAAUGCCGGGGCGGAAGACACACAAAUAGAUGCAGCAGACUUUCAAGUAAAAAGGUAACUCCCCCACAGAACAAGUUCGACUGAAAACUGUCAAAUUUAUUUUUUCAUUCAUAUAAUUUUCUGAUGGCGCACUUCCAUAGUGUAGGACGAAAAAUUGCCAGGCCUCAUGCUCUAAUCUGAUCAAUGGUCCUUCAAUGAGCACUGAAUCAAGCCGAAUCUUCUCUCCGUUUUCCAUUUCCAACGACGUAAGGAGUUCUGGAUCAGUGAAAUAUCAAUACUCUGCUUCCAUUCCGAUUAUCAGGAAGAACUUCUUCAAGAUCAUCCCAUAUCUCAAUGUUAUCGCAGACAUCAUCAAGCACAAUAAAGUACUUCUUGUUUGUUAGGUAAUCUUGAAGAAUAGAUUUCUUCAAUUGAUAAUCUUCACCGAUAAUUACACUAACCCGAGAUGGAGGCAUCACGGACUUGAUUAUGUCAUCCAAUAUCUUGCCAAAAUCGUAGAGUGAAGAAACCCUGACCCAAGCAAAACCGUCAAAAUAGAACUUGACGUGAUUAUUAUUGUAAGUAUCUGCAGCAAAAGCAGUCUUAUCGAUGCCACGGCUGUCGAGAAUUGCAACCACUGCAAGCCGAGGAUGUCCUUCUAUCAAUAAAUCAAACAACUCCUCUCUGCCCCUUGCAAAUUCAUUGAUAUCAAGCCGAGGUUGUCCCUCACUCAAUAGGCGAAUGGUUUUGUUACAUUGUUCAGUGAUAUCAAAAUCAUUGUCGCCGGGUGGAAGUUGUUGCAUCCGAUUUCUAAUAUCAAUGAUUUCACUGUUGAGUCCAUCAAGAAGAGUCGUAUUAGUACUGCUGUCACUUUCGUUUUCACUGUUUUGCUGCUGCAUGAUUUUGAUGAAGAAUGUGUCAAUGGCUUCCUCAGAUUCACGGACAAAGUCAUUGAUGUCGUUCAGAAUUUCCAGAAUGUCUGCCCUUUUAACAUCUUCUUCAUCGCUUUUUUCUAAGUCCAACAGUUGCAAAGAAGGUAAAGAUAUUUCGGUGUCAUCGAAUUCUUCUCUAAUGAGUUGAAACAAAUCCGAGCCAUGUCAGAGUCAUAGUUUCCCAGCAGUGGUAACAAUAAUUUUGGACUCCGUAAGAAGGUUUUGAAAAAGUGGGGUUAAAUUUGUUGAAUCAGGCAGCGUUAACGGGUCUUCUUCACCUGCUAACACCCUUUUCAACCUCUCACAAAAUAGUCGGAGGUGGACGUCCAGCAUAUCUCAUUCUCUCCGUAGCACCCAGACGUAUUGUUAUUUGCUCCAACAAAUGUUAAAAGGAUUGGUUCUAUCUCAAAGUGGUUUGUGGUGUAAAAUUAAACACUAUGGGAGAAUUUGAAAGGAAGAUGCCAAGAAACCGUGUAAGUGGCUAAUUUCCACAAAUAUGACAUUAUUGCUCAUUUUUAACUCAAAAAAAUGAUAUGCGUUCAUUUAGAGAAAAGUCCAAGACGCUUGCCUUUUAAAAAGAACAGGUAUCCCUAUGCAACCUUUAUCUUAUUUAAUUACUACCAUAUGGUACUUAAAUCUAUUGUUUCUUUUUUAAUUUAAAGAAUUUUUCAUUAAAAAACUAUUUUAAUAUCAAAAUGCCUUCAAUGGCAUAGCUGCCGCAAGCCCAGUAUGAAUUAACAGGAUGAAUUAAAAAUUUUAGAAUUUUUGGGCAUGGAAAGAGUAAUAUUAAACAUUAGAAAGCUAAGCUUGUUCUGUUAAAGAAUUGAUAUUGACAUAAUUUUAUUUUGGUUUUCGGGGAAAAAAAUUAUUCGUUGACAAGCAAGAAACAUUUUUAAUUUUUAAAAUUUAUUAUGCAUAUUUUAUCAUAGUAAAGUAAUUUUAAUAAUAAAUAGAAACAUAAUAUUACAGUAAAUAAAUUAAAGUUUAAAUUAUUUUGAAUGUUAUAAAAAAUAAUUUUAAUAUUAUUAAUAGAAGACAUUUUCUUAAUUUUAAAAUCUUUUUAACCCAAAGGUUUAUUUAAAAUCUUUCUAAUAAAUACAAAUAUAAAAUUAAAAUAAAUAUCAAAAUUUGAAAUUUUUAAUAUUAAAAUUACUUUAAUGUUGUUAGUGACUGUUCGGUACAGCUUAUUUAAUGGCUAUAAGUGCUUAUUUAAUGUCAUAAUGUCAUGGGAUGAGUGUUUUGCACAGCAAAUCCAUGCGGUACUUAGACAACUUUGCCGAAUGUUGCUAAGUAAGCCUUGAGCUUCUCGAACUAGCUAAGCCUAGAGGUUUUCGAAGAGCUAGAGAGAAGAGAGCAAUGAAGCCGAAUGAAGAGAAUUGUAUUACUAACAAGAGAGAUUACAAGAGAGCUUACAAGUGUUUGAGUUGCUUGUACUAAGCUUGUUGCUCAAAUGUCUAAUGCCAUCCCAUAUUUAUAGGGGAGGCUUGCCAAGCUCUAGAGAUUCUAGAGAAUUCUACCAUUUAUAUGUGCCGGAAUUCUAUGGAGUAUUCUAGAGUAUUUACAAGCUCAAAUGCCUUUUAAAAAGAAUAUGUAUACAAUGGCAAUCCAUACUUUAUAAAAUUGAUGGUGAUUACAAAGAAAAAUUGUUUAAAAUAGAUUUAAUGCACAAAUAUGAUGACUUUUGGCAAAAAUUAGUUUCGGAAAUGUUGGGAUGAAAACCAUAUUAAUUGAGAAUUAAAAUUACUUAAUAAAAUUACUUAACUACCAUCUAAUAGAUGAAAACCAUAUCAAUUGAGACUUAAAUUAAGAUUUAAAUGUUGAAAUAUCUAGCAUUACUCACAAUAACCAAUUCAAAUUAUGACUAUCAUGUAGAAGCAAAUGUUUAUGCUUGGGUUUUUUACUUCUUGAAUUUGAUUGGAAAAUUUUCUGAGAUAGAGAAGUGUUUUGGAUAAGCUUUACGGGAUUGAAACCACAAAUUGGUAGAGGAAAUUAAUUUUGGACAAAUUUUUCUUAUAUUGUAGGACCUUCUAGUUGGAGUAGUGAUGCCUUUGUCUUCAUUUUUGGUUCCUUUUGUGUCGGCAGCCCCUUACUAUUCUCUUGACCCUGAGUUUGAGAUAGAAAUUUAUCAACCUCCAACCCCACAUCCACAAACAAGUUGAUUGAAACAAUUACUCUUUUAAUUAAGAGGACCCAAAUGAUUUAGGUUUCAGUUCUUAUCAUUUGUCUAUUAUUUCUUUGAAACAUUUAUUUUGAGCGUUACUGAUCUUAAUUAUCUGUAUUUCUCCAAUUAUUGAAGAAUUUCAAGUGGCCACUUUUUCUCCUUUUUAUAUAUGUUUAUUUUUUGGAGUGAUCAAACGGGUGCAAAAUCAAGUAUUCGCUGGUCUGUAGUUUAGCCAACGAUGGCUGAUCCACACAGUUGAUUAUAUGAUACUAUUAGCUCUCAAAAUCUUUCUUAUUUGAGAACAUAAAUUGCCCAUUGAAGUUAAACUAUGUUACCCAGCUCCAUGCACAUACAUUAAAUGUUUAGGUAGUUUUACAAAAUGAUAACAGCAUGCCAAAACUUGAUGUUGUCAUAUUCGACAUUUCAAAUUGAAAUAUAUGCAAGCAAUCUUCAGUGAACAUUACGUGUUUAUUGAAUAAUUUAAAUGGCCAGUAAAUCAACAGUCCGUGAGUUUUAAAUCUAUUAUGACUUAAUGUAUCUUUCUGUAUUUGUACACGUGUUAUAUUAUCAUAGUUUAAAAUUUUAAUAUUAUUUUAAAUGUUAAAAAUACUUUAAUGCUAUUAGUCUACUACACAGGUUAUAUUAUUUAUAUUAUAUUUGUAUUAAUUAAAACUUUUAAUGUCAAUUUUCUAAUUACUAUAUUGAAAAGGUAUUAUGGUUAAGAAAAAGUUUUGGCAUUUCUUCUUGAAAAUUUGAGGGUUUUCCAAAUUCUAAGGGUAUAGGUUUGAAAAUUUAACGAUCUUUAACUUAAUGAAACAAAAGAGGGAAAUCAAGAACUAUUCAAUUUUGUAUUUUUUGUUUGUAAUUCAAAAAAUACAUCCACCAAACAAGUUUUACGCAUUAAUGCUGUCAUAAAACGAAAAACAGUUUGCCAAAAAAUGGUACCAAACAUGUCCUUAAUGUCUCACAUGAUUUCUUAGUAAGUCCAUAUUAGAUAUAUUUAUACAUUUUAGGUAUUUUAGUUAUAAAAGAAGUUGGACCUCCCCCUGUUUAUAAAAAAUAACUUUAUUUCGAGAUUACCACUAAACUCUUACAUAGAAUUAGUGUAAUGUUAAGAGAGAGUAACACAGUUUUCCAUUACCAUCUUUGAAAAUAGAGAGAUAUGGAUGCGUGCAUUUAAGAGUUACCGUGAAAAUCAUACAAUUCAAUUUCCUGACAUAUAUAUUCAUGGACCAGCACCGAUAUUCUCACACCAAUGAGCACCACAGUUAGCACAAAACGGUUCGUUUUGUGCUAACUAUAAAAGAUUUAACUGUAGCUUGAAAACGCAGACUCAUCUUGCUCAAACGCAGACCACACACGCGCUCGAGUUUCUAAAACGCAAACGCAAACGCAAACUACACACACACUCAUCUUACUGGACCACAACACUCUCUCUCACCGUGGGUCUCUCCACAUUUGGCUUGGCUGUCAGUUGUUUCUCUCCCAACCCCGUGGAUUGCAUUCUCACGGCACUUCUGGAAUUUGAGACUUAGCUGCAGCUUCACUCUCUCGGCUGUCGGAAUUGAUUUGUGGAGGUAAUUUAUGCAAACGCAAACCACACACACACUCAUCUCAGUUGACCACAACACUCUCGCUCGCCGUGGGUCUCUCCACAUUUGGCUUGGCUGUCAGUUGUUUCUCUCUCCACCCCGUGGAUUGCAUUCUCACGACACUACUGGAAUUUGACACCUAGCUGCAGCUUCACUCUCUCGUUAUGAAUUUAUGUUAAUUUUGCUGUCUUCAGAACUGCCUGUUGUGGUCGAGUACAAGAUUGCGGAGAUGGGUUAUGUUAGAUUCUACUUGACACCAAGAUAGAAGAAGAUGAGGAUGAGACCAAGCCUCUAGCUUAAGUGUCAUUUGGUACAUAUGCUAUGGCAUUUUGUUGAAUCGAGUUACUCCUACAUUUUAAGUUUGCUUUUAGAAUAUUUCUCGUAAAUUUUCAUGUUGAAAAACCAAUCAUUUGUAGUUAAGUAGAUUGAUAAGAAUUCGUUUCUUGUGCUUGGUUUUUUAUCCUACUGUUGCACAUGGCCAGACAGCUGGUUGCACAUCAGAUUCAAGAGCUGUAAAUUUUGAGGCUGAGGAAUCUCAGCUGGGAUUUCAUGUGAUAACAUAUUAUCAGAUAGAUCCAGCAACUGCAAUGAAGUAAUGUUGCCAAUUUCCGCAGGAAGCUUGCCUUGAAAGUUGUUCUGAUACAAAAACAUUAUCUCCAAUAGCUCAAGCCUCCCAAGUUCAGCUGGAAUCUCCCCACCAAGAUUACCAACGGCCAAAUCAAGAUACUUCAGGUUGGUAAGAUUCCCAAAUUCCACUGGGAUUUCACCUUCAAAUUCAUUGUAUCCAAGAAUCAUAGUCUCCAUGGAUGAAAGUUGCCCAAGCUCUCGCGGUAUCUUGCCAGUGAGAUUAUUCCCAGAUAGAUUGAUAAGAAUUCGUUUCUUGUGCUUGGUUUUUUAUCCUACUGUUGUACAUGUAAUUGAUUCAUUUGUAAUCUUUGUUGCUUUCAAAGGUAGGCUUCAAUUGAGUUGAAACUUUAAAAAAUUUAUAAAAAAUGAACCGCAAAUAAAAGAUAGCAUCAUAUUGGGUGACAAAAUGUUCUCGAGGAUGAUCCUGAUUAAUGCUGUGUAUUUCGCAAUGUAAUUACUUGCUGAUCAAUUUAAUUGAAUUGAUUAACACAUUGGUUUGAGUUUUGAUACUGCUGCUCUGUUUUUGGGUUAUUUGAAGAUCGCAUUUUUGCAGGAACUGGUAAAUUGGACACGUUAACAAAAACUUCUCACGUAUUACUGAAAUAAUAACUGUUAUAUUUCAGCCCUUAUGCACAGAACACAAUGGUUGCAAGCAAAUCAACUCAUAACUUACACAAUGGUUGCAAGCAAAUCAAUUCAUAACUUGUAAAUAAAUAAACCCCAAAAAAUUGGGCAUUAAUUUCCAUUUUCCAGCAUAUAACAAUUUCUAGCAGCAAGUUUUAACAGCAGAUAACUUCCGACAACAACUCAUCCCAAAAUCAGCAACUCAUAACUCACAACACAAUAGCAUUUUGCUAAUUUCCAAUAGCAAGAUGCGUGAGAGAGACCCACGACGAGAGAAAGCCGAAGGAGAGAGCAGCGAGAUGCGCGAGAGGCCAGAUGAGAGAGACCCACGGUGAGAGAGAGAGCCACAGCCGAAGAGUGACCCACGCUCAAGAGAGAGAGCCACAGCCGAAUAGAGACCCACUCUUGAGAGAGAGAGAGAAAACCAAAGGAGAGAGCAAUCCCACGAUCCGUUUUGUGAGGCGAGUGUGUGAGGAGAGUGUGUUAGUUUUGAAGCUACAGUAUUUUCUUUUAGAGUUAGCACAAAACGAUGGUGCUAACUGCUAAGCGUGGUGCGUUUCUCAUUUUCCAUUCAUGGCCGUAUGCCAAAAGAAUAAAUAGACAGAAAGUAAAUUUACAGUCCUCACUUCCUCACAAUUGUUAACGUGAAGAUGCAUUACAACCGUGAACUGUCACUACUUUAGCCUUUUUUUUUUUUUCAAUUAUGGUGUGAUGGAGACAUUAAGGAUGAGCAUAAAAGUUAAAGAUGACUCAUUUUCUUUUUAAAGUGCUCUGCUGAAAGCCAAACUUCCUUUGGCUAAUUAAUUUAGAAGUAAAGCAGAGAAUAAAGUCUUAGAUGCCUUCUGAAAUUAGAAAUACAUUUUAUAUGCUUUAAUUAUGAUUAUUUGGUAGACUAAAGACCUAAAAGAUAUGUCAAAAGUAUAAAACAGAGCGAUUAAAGAAAAAAAGAAAAAAAAAAAACAGAGUAUUUGUGACGUAGAAUAACAAUUGGUAAAUAAAUCCUAAAUAUUUGAGUUGUUUAAAGCAAAUAUAACAGAGACGGUAAGAGAGAUGCAGAAACAGAAAACUAUUAGCCCUCUAUAUUCAUUUUCGAUGCUUUUCAAUCGAGAUUCUUUUAAUUCUUCUGGUGUCUGCAGCCCCGGCUCCUCUUAUAGAUCUCCAUCCCACAUCUGCACUACGAACAAGUUGAUUAAAGUUAAAUAAUGUUGGAGAUGUGGGGUGAGCCGUCAAUUUGGUAAAAAAUAUUAUGUAUAAUAUUGUUAAUAAUAUAAAAUAUAUAAUAAUAAUUACAAAGAAUCAUAAAUUAGAAAAAUUAAUUAUUUUACAAUCUAUUUCUUAAGUAAGAUAGAUCUCGUAAUAAGUUAAGUUAUAAUGUAAAAAAUAUUUUCAAUUUAUAAUCAUUUAAGAAGUCAUUUAACAAUAAAAUUUUUCUUUUUUUGAUCAAUUGGUCAUGCUACAGAGUAUCAUCUAUAUUCGUAGUGAUAUUAUUAUUACUCCGUAUUCUCAAAAAACCCGAUUUAACAUUUAGAAAAAGUUCCUACCUUUUAAAAAGAACAUGUAUGCAACAGCUACCCAUACUUUAUCUUACCACGACAAAACUAAUAGGGACUAAAUCAAAUUUCUCGAAUAAAGCAAAAUUUCUUAAAAUUAAUUUAAUAUACAAAUAUGAUGACUUUUUGCAAAAAUUAGUUUUGGAAAAUUAGUGACAGAAAAUAGUAACGAUUAUUAUUUAGAUGUGUAAAUAGCCUAAACAUGAUCCCUAGUACCAAUAUCCACGUGCAUCUUAACAUCUUUCGUCAUAUUCUUUCAUUCAUGGCCACUGGUUCAAGAUUUGAAUUUGAUCAUUAAAUCAUGUUCAAUAAUAUUAGAGAUUCCAACAAUUGAGCACCAACUUAAAUCCCAAUGCUAUGUGUCAUUAACAAAUGUUGUGUCAUUUAUAAUUAUUGAAUGAAUAAUUCGUUAAUUUAUUGAUAAACAAAAAUUUAUUAAUUUAAAGAGAGAUUUUUUUUUUUGGUUUUAAGAAGAGUUUUGCUGGUACAUGUACAUACUUAUAAAGAAAUAAACUUGUAAUUAUACUAUAUCUUUCUUUCUUUGUUUAUUUUGGUGGGAUAUUGUGAUAAAUCAUUGGAUUAAAAUGCAUUUAAAAAUAAAACUUGUUAAAAUCUAAUUUAUUUGGAAAACGCAUAUUAUUUGUCAGUCGUACUUCUCAACUUAGCAAGUUAUUUCUAACUUGUCAGUCUCUAUUGGUUCUCUAAAAGCUAAUAGUCUCGAAUCUCCCGGAUUUGAUAUCUUGCCAUUACUGUUGGCAUUAACAUGUUACCUGAGAAAUGAUAUUUUUUGUGGUGUUGAUAAAGAGGUUAAAUAUGAUUCAACAAUUUAAAAUAUGAAAACAUAUGGAAGACGGCCGCAAUUAAAUUGAUUGUAUGAAAAUAUUUCAAUGAAAUUUUAAAAAUUUGGUACUUGUUAUCUUAUCGAGAGUUUUUUUAAAUUAUAUUACUACUUGAACUUAACUGCUUUUGUAUUGAAUUCCUAGCGUUGCCAUUGCUUCUACUCAAAAGCCAUUUAAGUUUGUGUAAGCUACGUAUAGUUUGAACAACAAUUUACUCAUGAAUUGUUGUUCACAAUAGCAAGUCGGGGGUUUAAAUGGAGUACUUCUAAGCAUAAAACAUUGAUUAAAACAGAAUACACACAUACAUACCAGCAAAUUCAAAAUAGCAAAAGGAGUGCAAAAGUUCAAAUUUGUAGACAACAUUGCAACCAUGGCAUGUUUAUAGCAAAUCCUCGAAAUCUGCUAAAUAAAACAAUGCCCUGUCUCAUGAAUCAAUGCUGAAUUAAAAUUGAAACUGAAAGUCUGGCUGGCGUUGUUUCCCUCUCCAAUUUUGCCUACAUAAGUGAAAAUAAGAAUAAUAAAUGAAAAUCUGCUUUUACGGUUCUUAUUAGAUAGAUAAAAGGGGGAUCUUUCUUUGUUUCUCUGCUGCAAAGUGUGGCUAUCCCACUCUGUUUUGCCACCCAAGCUGAGUCUAUGUUGAGACAUAAUUUUGACAUCAGAAGCAAUCUCAAUUAGUUUGGCACUUUUAUGACCUCCUUGAAGGUUUUACGAUAAACAUAAAUCUACUGAGAAAGUGAGAAAAAAAAAGAAAAUGCAUAUAAAAAUAUGAGUUAUCAGAUAAGAUUAAACUUCACCCAAUUCAAUCCAUCAGAUUCCGUAAGGAUAUAACUGGAUUUCAUACCGCCACUCCAUAUCCUCGAAAGUCCGUAGUCCUUGUCUCAACUGUGUCUGGGGCCAGUGUAAGUCCAAUUUGCGCAAGCUCUUUAUGCACCACAGCUCUUCUGGAAGCUUUCUCAAGUAAGCACAUGGGUUGACAAUUAAGCUUUCAAGUUUGGGCAUUGCUCCAGCCCCCAUCGUCCACUCAUCUAGCCAAUACAUUGAUUUGAGGUGCAAAACCUUAAGUUCGGGAAAGCUACUCAAGCCAACACAAGCAAGCUUUCUUCCUAAAUACGAGUUCUGCUUCAGUUUCAGCACUCGAAGGCGUGGAAGAUUUUCCAGAAUUGGCAUGGGAUCCUCCAUUAACUCAGUAUUUGAUAAGCUCAGUUGGAUCAGACUUGGGGGAAAUUGGUAUUCAGACAGGACCAUCCGUGAGGGCUUGCUCUCAUUCACCAGCUUCAAGCAUUCAAGUUUGUGGAGUUCGCAAAGGCUUUUGGAAACCCCAGAUUGAUAGUAACUCAAAUCUCCAGAUAUCCGAAGAGUCUGAACACUAGGUAGUCUGCCCAAUAUAUCAGGAGUACAACUACUAGGGUUUAAAGCUGAUAUGAAAAUGAGAUUUUUCAGAGAGCUAGAAUAAUUUUUUGGAGGUGCGGGCAGAGUGAUAGAACCAAAGUUUAGAUGCAUGAGUUUUUGCAUCAUCCAAAUAUCCUCUGGUGACUGAUCUAUGUAGCUAGAUGGCAUUUCUAGUGUUUCAAGGUUUAAAAGGGUGCAUAGCAGUGAAGGAAGGCAUUUGAGCGAAGGGAUAUUCAAUUUCAAAUACUUCAAAAGAUAUAAAUUUUCUAAUCCGGGUGGAUAUUGGUCCAGGACUGCAGAACCCAAAUUCAAUACCCGAAGGUGUUUGAACUUUUUACAAAAAUUCUCGCAAUCUUUCGGAUUAAGAUGAUCGCUUGCCGAACUGUGAUUCAGAAAAGAUUGGAGAUACAUGUCAGAAUGUUCUAAAGAUAAAAACCCAGUCAGAUCUUCGGCAAUGACGCACCGUUUAACGUUUGCCACUGGCUCCUCUUCCCCGUCAUGCAUCAAGACAAAUUCCGUCUUCUUUGCCACAAAAUACAAUGAAGUAUAUACAAAACUUGGAACAUAACACGCUUUAAUUGUGCCUCCGGCGCUUCUCUUACUCACUUGAAUGAAGCCGCGACGGAUUAGUUCUUUCAUGUAAUGUUCGGCAGUUUCUUCACCGUUGUAUGGUAUGAAACCUUCAGCUACCCACAACUGAUAUAAUUGCUCCGUAGAUAUCUCAAUACUUGGAAGGAAGACACACAAAUAGAUGAAGCAGACUUUCAAGUGAAAAGGUAACUCCAUCACAGAAAAAAUUUGUCUCCAAACUGUCGGAAUCGCUUCGCCUUGAAGAUAAUUUUCUAAUGGCAUACUUCCAUAGUGUAGGAUGAAAAAUUGCCAGGCUUCAUGCUUUAAUCUGAUCAAUGGUCCUCCAAAGAGCACUGAAUCACGCCGAAUCUUCUCUCCGUUUUCCAUUUCUAACGACGCAAGGAGGUGUGGAUCACUGACCAACAUCAAUACUCUGCUUCCAUUCUGAUUAUCAGGAAGAACUUCUUCAAGAUCACUCCAUAUCUCACUGUCAUCGAAGACAUCAUCAAGCACAAUAAAGUACUUCCUGUUUGUUAGGUAAUCUCGAAGAAUAGAUUUCUUCAAUUGAUAAUCUUCCCCGAUAAUUACACUAACCCGAGAUGGAGGCAUCACAGACUUGAUUAUGUCAUCCAAUAUCUUGCCAAAAUCGUAGGUUAUAGAAACCCUGACCCAAGCAAGACAGUCAAAAUAGAACUUGACGUGAUCAUUAUUGUAAGUAUCUGCGGCAAAAACAGUCUUGUCGAAGCCACUGCUGUCGAGAAUUGCAACCACUGCAAGCCCAGAUGGUCCCUCAAUCAAUAGAUCAAACAACUCCUCUCUGCCCCUUUCAAAUUCACUGAUAUCAAGCCGAGGAUGUCCCGCACUCAAUAGGCGAAUGAUUUCGUUACUUUUUUCACUGAUAUCAAAACCAUUGUCGCCGGGUGGAAGUUGUUGCAUCCGAUUUCUAAUAUCAAUGAUUUCACUGUGGAGUCCAUCAAGAAGAGCCAUAUUAGUGCUGCUUUCACUUUCGUUUUCACUGUUUUGCUGCUGCAUGAUGUUGAUGAAGAAUGUGUCAAUGGCUUCCUGUGAGUCACGGACAAAGUUAUUGAUGUCCUCCAGAAUUUCAAAAAUAUCUGCUGUUUCAACGUUUUCUUCAUCGCUUUCUUCUAAGUCCAACAGUUGCAAAAAAGGCAAAGAUAUUUUGGAGUCAUCGAAAUCUUCUCUAAUGAGUUGAAACAAAUGCCGAGCCAUGUCAGCUUCAUAUUUUCCCAGCAGAGUAGUAGCAAUAAUUUCGGACUCCGUAAGAAGGUUUUGAAAAAGUGGAGUUAAAUUUGUUGAAUCUGGCAGCGGCAACGUGCCUUCUUCACCUGCUAACACCCUUCUCAACCUCUCACAAAAUAGUCGGAGGUGGACGUCCAGCAUAUCUCCUUCUCUCUGUAGCACCCAGAGGUAUUGUUUUUUGCUCCAAGAAAUAUUAAAAGGAUUGGUUCUAUCUAAAAGUGGUUACUGGUGUAAAAUUAAACGCCAUGGGAGAAUUUGAAAGGAAGAUGCCAAGGAACUGGCGAAGUGGCUAAAUUCCACAAAUACGGCAUUAUUGCUCAUUUUUAACUCAAAAAAUUGAUACGCGUUCAUUUUGCGAAAAGUCCAAGACGCUUGCCUUUUGAAAAGAAGAGGUAUCCAAUAGAUAUCCAACCUUUAUCUUAUUUUAAUUACUACCACGACAUGAUUGAUGGUGGUUAAAUCAAUUGUUUCUUUUUUAAUUUAAAGAAUUUUUCAUUAAAAAAUAUUUUAAUAUCAAAUUGCCUUCAAUAGCGUAACUGCCGCAAGCCCAGUAACAGGAUUAAUUAAUUUUUUUUGAAUUUUUGGGCAUGGAAAGAGUAGUAUUAGACUUCAGAAAGCUAAGGUUGUUAUGUUAAAGAAUUGAUAUUGACAUAAUUUUAUUUUGGCUUUCGGGGAAAAAAAUAUUUGCUGACAAGCAAGAAAAUAUUUUUGUAUUUUACAAUUUAUUAUACAUAUUUGAUCAUAUUAAAGUAAUUUUAAUAAUAAAUAGACACAUAAUAUUACAAUAAAUAAAGUAAAGUUUAAAUUAUUUUGAAUAUUAUAAAAAAAUAAUUUUAAUAUUAUUAAUAGGAAGACAUUUUGUUAAUUUUAAAAUCUUUUUAACCUAAAGGUUUAUUUAAAAUCUUUAGAAAUCUCCAUCCCACAUCUACCCUAUUAAACAAGUUGAUGGAAAUUGAACAAUUGCUUUUUAAAGUGGGACCCAUUGAGUUAUGUUCAUUACUGGUCAUUGUCUAUUCUUUCUAAGAGCCACUUGUUUUGAGCAUUAGCAAUCCUAUCUGGACUACUCCAAUUAUUGAUGUAACUCCAAUGGUUGCAUCGACAGUUGAAUAUAAGAGGAUGGUCCAUCGACAAUUUCUUUGUUUCUCCGUUGCAGCGUAUUAGUAUAAAUUUCUUUACCUAACAGUUCAUACAGUCUUCCUGUUAAUGAAUUCACUGAGGCAUUAUUGAUACAAUGUGCUUUUCGCUAAUUAAUUAUGAUUAUAUACGCUUUCAUAUAGCAAGUGGCAUUGUAGAUCUAAACUAAGUUGCUAUUUCAAUACGUUAAUUAAGUGAUUCUCCUCAUUGUCAUCAGCAUUAUACCCUCUAGGAAAAUAGCUCAAUUGUUUCUCUGCAUUGAUUUUCAUUGGUAAGUGAUUUCUUAUGAAAUUCUUUUGAGCUUUCCUUAUUAAAAAUGCUUGAGCUUUUAUCACCUAAUACGGAUAUCAAUUAACUUGUGAACGAUUUUGUAAUGAAACUAGGAGUUAAAUAAGAUUUUUACAUGAUGAUCAACUUGUUAAUUUUGUAUAUUUCAUAUUCAACAGGAUUUGGGCACGGAACGUUUGGAUUCUAAUAUUUAUAUAUUUAGUUUUAAUCAGUUUGACUUUCGUAAUCUUUCUCGCCUCAUCAUUAAGGGAUUAAGAAUUAGAGAAACAUUAGAAACAGGAAGAAAAUAACUUCAGAAAUAAGUAAGAGGGAAUCCAAUGAGAAAUAUGAUAAGAGAACGUCAAUUACUUGUCAUUUUCUAUUUUUUCUAUGAGAUAUUUAUUUUGAGCAUUAGUUAUAGCAAAUCCUUGAAAUCUACUAAACAAAACAAUGCCCUGUCUCAUGAAUCGAUGUUGAAUUACAGCUGAAAUUGAAAGUCUGGCACCAGUUAUAGCAAAUAUUGAAUUACAAUAUUUCCCUUGCCAAACCGUACCUGCAUGUGGCAACGUGCCUUCUUCACUUGCUAACACCCUUUUCAACCUCUCACAAAACAGUCGGAGGUGGAAUUCCAGCAUAUCUCCUUCUCUCCGCAGCACUCAGAGGUAUAGUUGAAAGAUUAAACACCAUGGAAGAAUUUGAAAGGAAAAUGCCAAGAAACUGUGUAAGUGGCUAAAUUCCACAAAUAUGACAUUAUUGCUCAUUUUUUAACUCAAAAAAAGGGUACGCGUUCAUUUAGAGAAAAGUCCAAGACGCGUGCUUUUUAAAAAGAACAGGUAUCCAACCUCUAUCUUAUUAAAUUACAACCAUGACAUAAUUGAUGGUGCUUAAAUCAAUUGUUUCUUUUUUAAUUUAAAGAAUUUUUCAUUAAAAAAAUAUUUUAAUAUCAAAUUGCCUUCAGUGGCGUAACUGCCUCAGGCCCAGUAACAGGACUAAUUAAAAAUUUUACAAUUUUUGGGCAUGGAAAUAGUAGUAUUAAACAUUAGAAAGGUAAGGUUGUUCUGUUAAAGAAUUGAUAUUGACAUAAUUUUAUUUUGGUUUUCGUGGAAAAAAAAUUUGUUGACAAGUAAGAAAAUAUUUUUAUUUUUAUAAAAUUUAUUAUGCAUAUUUAUCAUAUUAAAGUAAUUUUAAUAAUAAAUAGAAACAUAAUAUUACAAUAAAUAAAUCAAAGUUUAAAUUAUUUUGAAUAUUAUAAAAAAUAAUGUUAAUAUUAUUAAUAGGAAGACAUUUUGUUAAUUUUAAAAUCUUUUUAAUCCAAAGGUUUAUUUAAAAUCUCUAUAAUAAAUACAAAUAUAAGAUUAAAAUAAAAAUCAUAAUUUGAAAAUUUUAAUAUUAUUUUAAAUGUUAAAUAUACUUUAAUGUUAUUAGCCUACUACGUAAAUUUUAUUAUUUAUAUUAUAUUCGUAUUGAUUAAAAUUUUUUAAAGUCAAUUUUUUAGUUAGUACAUUCACGAGGUAUAAUAGUUAAAGAAAAAAUUUUGGUGCAACUGUUUUAAAAUUUCAGGGUAUAAAUGAUAAUUUUUUUAAAAAUUUUAAGUAGGUAUUAUUUUUCCGACAAUUUAUUUUAUUGAGGGAAACCCGAUGAGAAAUAUCAUCAGAGAACAUUAAUUUAACAUUCUUUACCUUUAUGAAAAAAGUGGAAACCAAGAACUAUUCAAUUUUUUUUUUUUUGUGUAAUUCAAAAAAUGCAUCCACCAAACAAGCUUAUCUUAAUUUUCCCACUUUAUUCAUUUUCGAUGCUUUUCAAAAGAGGUUCCUUUAAUCCAUCUAGCAUCUGCAGCCCCCACUAUUUUUACAAAUCUCCAUCCCACAUCUACACUAUCAAAAAAGUUGAUGGAAAUUGAACCCAUUAAUUAAGUUAUGUUCAUUACAGGUCAUUAUCUUUCUAUGAGCCACUUAUUUUGAGCAUUAGCGAUCUUAUAAGGAAUCAUGCCUUUUCCGGAUCGUUUUCUUUCAUUUCCUUAUUGACUUAUUGUAGUAGUUAAUUAAAUAAAGAACGAACAAGUGAACUUAAUUUGUCUAUUUCGAGGAAGAACAAGGUUUCCAAUACUAGAGGAACUUUGAAGAAAAUUAAUUGGAAGCCUUUAUUCAUCUUUGAAGAAAAUUACCACACUUUAAAUCCUGGAUUAAAAAAAAUUUAUUCAUCUUCGGACUAUGAAUUUAUAAAAUAAUAUUGCUAGGACUAAGAAAAAAAUAUUAUUUUAGAUACGUUAUUUAUUUAUUAUUGAAUGAAAAAUUUAUCAUGAUAAAUAAAAUUUCUUAAUUUAAAGAGAGAUUUUUUUUUUGGUUUUAAGAAGAGUUUUUUUGGUACAUGCACACACUAAUAAAGAAACACAAAAAGUGCUUCCUCAAGUCAAUAGUAUUUACUUUAAUCGCUAAGGUGCAUAAUAAUGUAGCUUAGUUAGGAAAUUUGUAAUUACAUUAUGGCUCCGUUUGGUAUAACUUUUUAAUUAGAACUUAUUUAAAGAGAAUUUAUAUUAGUAGAGUUUUUAUAAAUAGAGAUUUUUUUUAUAAAAAAAAUUAUAGUUAUUUAGUUAUCAAUGUCCAAAUUGAUGAAGUAUUGUUCUUUUUAUUAACAUGUGUUUGUUUUACUUAAUAAUAAAAGUUUAGUUUACAAUUACACCGGUGUCAAAUCAGCAGAGCAUCGGCAAGAGUUUUCGAUUGUUGCAAUUUGCAAUGCACGCGGUGAGAGAAAAUGAGAAUCUUGUUUAAUUGUCAAUAAUGACAAACCUAAUCCUUUCAUUAGGAGUAAAUUAAUAAUCGUUGGUUAUAAUUGAAUAUGUAUAAAGAAAGGAAAAUUAUAUUCAUAGAUUUGACUUAUUUUUUAUUUAACGUAACUAAUCAUUCAACCAUCUUCGUUUGCCUCUGGCCAAUGCCCUUGUAGAUUAGUUGAAGCGUUAAUUACAUAAUUCAGAUAAUUACAACGUCCUUUUCGCUAAUUAAUUAUGAUUAUGUACAUUUUCAUAUAGCAAGUGGCAUUGUAGAUCUAAACUACGUUGCUAUUUCAAUACGUUAAUUAAGUGAUUCUCGUCAUUGUCAUCAGCGUUAUAAACAGGAAUUAUGCAAACAGUACACAAUGCUGCAGCAAGGCGUGGUUGGCUAGAGUUUUGCAACCACCCUCGAGAUCAUGUGCUGCCAGUAGUAAAAGAAUUUUACGCCAAUUUGGUAAGCCUUGGUCAGCACAAUAUUUGGGGUAAGAAACUCACUUGUUCCAUUAGACUCUCGAGUUAUAAAUGUUUUUUAUAAUUUACCUGCUGAAAUUAAUUGUGAGUAUGCCAAGUUGCUUGACAAAUUGACCUCACAACAAUGGAACACAAUUUUCACGACACUUACAGUAGAGGGUGCAUCGUGGGCUAAUGAGGAGGGGCGUGUAAUUAACAGGAUAGAUUUAAAACUCAUUGCUAAGGUGUGGGUGAAAUUUCUGAAAUCUAGGCUUAUGCCAACCAUCCACACCAUUACUGUUUUACAGGAAAGGUUGGUGCUGUUACAUGCUAUUGUUAGAGGGCUUUCCAUAGAUGUGGGAAGUAUUAUCGAAAAAGAAAUUCGAGAUUGUACCAUGAAAAACCACAAGGUUGUUGCCUUGUUAUUUCCUUCACUCAUAACCAGCAUAUGUGUAGUAUCGGGUGUUCAUCUUGAUGCAAAGGAUAAAAUUUGUAAUUAUAUUAUGGCUCCAUUUGGUAUAACUUUUUAAUUCGAACUUAUUUAAGGAGAUUUUUAUUAGUAGAGCUUUUAUAAAUAGAGAUUUUACUAAAAAAAAAUUAUAGUUAUUUAGUUGUCAAUGUCCAAAUGGAUGAACUAUUGUUCUUUUUGUUAACAUGUGUUUGUUUUACUUAAUAAUAAAAGUUAAGUUCACAAUUACACCGGUGUCAAAUCAGCAGAGCAUUUUUGCAGGGGUAAAAUCUCAUUUAGUCCCUAUAUUUUAAGCUUAGUAUCCAUUUGGUCCCUAUAUUUUUAAAAAUACCUCAAAACAUCCCUACCGUUAAAGUAUUGAUACCCCUACCGUUAAAGUAUUGAUACCCCUACCGUUAUCUUUAAUUUAUUUUGGCUUACUUUUACAAUAUUACCCUUUUAUAAUAAUUUUUUUAGACAUGAAUAAAAAAUAAUAAUUAAAUUACCAAUUUAACCCAAAAAAAAUUAAAAAAAAAAUUAUAUUAAUUUUUUUUGCAAACACCAUUUGCACACUUGAUAGUUUGCAUACAAUUUUAGAUAAUUAAAUUUCAACACAAGACUGAGUUUUUCAUCAUUCAAACUUCUCAUGUCUAAACUUUAUUUAUUGAGGUGCUAAAAGAUAAAUAUAUUGGCAAUUGGGAAAUGAAGUCAAUGAUAAGUUUGAUACAACCGUUGAUUAAAUAUCAUUAAAAAAAAAAAAGUACCUACAACUAGAAGUUAAAAAAAAAUGUCACCAUAGCCCACGUAUAAAUCCAUUUUGUAGUGCGUCAAAACUUAUGAAUAUCCUCUUGAAGUACGUCGCUACACCUUAUGUUUCAUAUUGAAUUUUCACCAUUGCCCUUUUAUUCUUUAUAAGAAGAACGUUGGCAUAGUCAUGUAACUUUGCAUAAGAUUUUGUGUAGUCACUAUCAGCAAUUUUUAGAACCCUUUUUUUGGCCAUAUACAGCCUUUUCUUUGUAGUUGAACAAGAAAACCUCUUCCUCAAUUCAUCUGACAUGGAUUCACAACCGAUAUCAGGAUUAAAACUAAUAAAACCAUACAAUUUCUGAGCUAUCCAUCUACUAGUUACUUCAGGAUUCUUAAACAGCUCUUUGCACUUAUGUUCACCACCUUUUAAAGUUUUAAUCUGGAAUGUAACUUUGUCAACCAAUAAAGAUGCAUGGAUUCUCCAUGGACAUUCCUUUCCUUCUUUGUCCUUCCCAGCACACACGGCUGUAACUCUACAUUUGUCAUUCUUUUUCCUUUUCAAAACUCUUGACUCUUGAAUAGCAUAAUCCUUCAAUACAUUCUUAAACUCUUGAGCACAACUAAAAGUUUGCCCAACUUCCAAAACAAUAUCAUCAUCACCAUCGGGUUCUUGAACUUUUUUUUCUUAAAUCCCUUUUCAUCUUCAAUAUUAUAGCGUCAUCUUCUUCAUCACUUGUAAUAGAUACAUCUUCAUUAUCACUCUCACAAUCUGACAUGCCAUCAUCUCCAUCAAAUUCAUUAAUAUCAAACCCUAAAUCAACUUCAGGUUCACUAUCAGACUUAACAAUAUCACCAAUAUCUUCAUCAGACCAGUCAAUAGACUCAACACUGAUUGCAUCAUCACUUUCACCAUCUAAAAUACAAACAUUAACUGCAUUUGAGGCAAAAUGAUUAUCUUCAGGGCGAGUUUGAGCUAAAACGGGUGACAAGCUGGCCAAGGAUAACGCAUCCAUCUCCAAAUUAAUAGAAUUAAGACCCUUGGCUUGAAUUAAGUUAACCAAAUUCUGGAAGUCUUUAUCAUUAUUCAAUUCAAUCCCUUCAUUGGACCAUGGGACAAUGCCAGUAAGCUUAAAGCUCUCAUCAUAAUGCUUGUGCCUUCCAAAGACAUUAUUCAAGACAUCGUUGAUGAGGGAUACAAGAAUCAAGCAAUCAGGAUCAUAAGCAUCCUCCACAUCUUUGCCUAAAAAUCGAACUGAAAUGCUGAUUUGACUCAUUUUGAAUCUGCCAACAUAAAGAUGAACAAAAAAUAUCAGAAACUUAAAACUAUUACAUACGAAAUCAUAAAAUACAAAAUCGACAUUAUAGAACUUUAUAUGAUUAUGAUUUUUUUUUACAAAAAAAUACUCAAUCAAGUGAAGUUAAAAUAAUUUCUUUUCGAUUACAAAUCAAUUCCACUACCAAUAUUAAGCUACGAAACAACCAUGAAAGGGUUAAAAAAAAGAAAGAAAGAAAACAAAAACCGUUCAACUUUUAGUCUACUGCAAAACAAAAACCGUUCAACUUUUAGUCUACUUCAUAUGGAAUUUUAGUCUUGGGAAGAAAUACCCAUUCAAGUGGAAAAAAAAAUAAUUUCUUUUCAUUGAACACAUGGAAGAUUAAAAAAAUAAAUAAAUAAACAAGACCAAUGUGAGACGUACCAGAAUAGGCCAAUUUCCUUCGUUGUCGGUUUUGACAUCUACUGCAAGACUACGUUUCCAAUAGAAAAAAUUUUACAGCAAUAAAAUUGUUAUGAGUUUUAAAAAAGCAAGUCACUUAAGUUCUUAAAGCGAGGGUUUUAAAGAAUAUUAGGGUUAAAAUACGUUUUUGCGAUUAUGGAUCUAGGUUAUCGUAAUAAUUUUUUAAAAUUUUAAAUUUUACCAAGAAAAAUACAUUUUUACCCUCAUUAAUCUAGAAUUAACAGUAACGGAGGUGAUGCUAAGGGUGUUUUGAGGUAUUUUUAAAAAUACAAUGACUAAACAGACAUUAAUCUAACGCUUUUUCUCCCAUGUAAAUUCUUAAUGUCGUUUUUCCAUAGUAUAGGAUGUAAAAUUGCCAGGAUUCAUGCUUUAAUCUGAUCAAUGGUCCUCCAACGAGAACUGAGUCAGGAUGAAUCGUCUGUCCAUUUUCCAAUUCGAACGAGGAAAGGAAGGCUGGAUCAGUGACCGUUAUAAUUACUCUACUUCCAUUCUGAUUCUCAGGAAGUACUUCUUCAAGAUCAUCCAAUACGUCGUCACCCUCUUUGUAGUAAUCAUCAAGCACAAUAAAGUACUUCUUGUUUGUUAGGUAAUCUCGAAGAAUAGAUUUCUUCAAUUGAUAAUCUUCACCGAUAACUACACUAACCCGAGAUGGAGGCAUCACAGACUUGAUUAUGUCAUCCAAUAUCAUGCGAAAAUCGUAGGAUAUAGCAACCCUUGUUAGGAAAUUGAGCUUCCUCCCAAGAUCACUCCAAGCAAUUUAUCAAGCAACAAAUUAACAGAAAAAUUUAAUGGAGAAUACAUCAAUCACACAACACAAGAUUUACGUGGAAAACUCUAAAUCCGGAGAAAAACCACGGCCGUUGUCAAAAAGACAACCAGAGAAAAUAUUCACUAUAUGGAAAAUUAUUACAACCACACUCUCAAAAAUAAUUUUCUCUCACCCAAGCCCCAAAUACAUAAUCCUGAGAAAUAUCCCUUAACAAAGCAAACCCGUAAUACCCAUAUUACGGAGCCAAAUGCUCCUUCAAUAUAACUACAUGCUUAAGAACUUUUCUCUCUCUCAAUUUCUCACCAAAACUUGGAUUCCUUCUCUGGGAUUUGGAUUGCUUCUCUCAAUGGCCAACAGUUCAUGUCUAUUUUCUUUAGCAAAGCCGAAGCUCAUUGCUACUCAUUUCUCAUCAAAUGACAUUCCAAUUUAUAGCCAAACUAUCACACCAAAAAUCUAAUAAGUCGGCAACAACUUUCUUCCUUUUUUACAAAUUCAUCAUGCGGUUCAAAAUUGGCAUUUUGCUUGUCAAAGUCCAUCCACCCAUUUGAAUGCAAUCAAUGUGUUCCCAUUUCACUUUUCCUUUUUUUUUAAUCAAUUUCAACAAUCUCCACCUUGAUUAAAAAAAAAAUUCAUAACUACUGCUACAAAACACUGUCUUCACCAACAGUCAUAAUUCUUAACAUAGAGAAUUAUCAUACUCCACCAUAAAGAGUAUACCACUUAGAAACAACCAUUCUAAGAUUUUUCUCGGCACAUGUCAAAAUAUCUUGCUGAAAUUUAUGGUACAAUUCUCAUGCUUGGUUUCCCUAAGAAUUCUUCAGCCAUGACAUAACUUUUCCACUACACACCUUGCAUUUAUACCAAGCCAAUGCCCGCGUGCAAACUUGUGGACCCCGCUGAUCAUAGCAUGUUCUCUUUCAUGACAACUUGGAGAUUUACAUGCCAAAAGAACUAACCCAAUCUCCUAUCAAAAGGAAACUCACAAUCUACGAGAAUAUCAUUAUCUCCUUUACUGAUUCUGGAGUAAUUUGCCGAGCCCACUCCACCUUCUUGACAAUUUUCUUGAGGUGCCAAAAAUUGUCUCACACCUUCAAAUCUUUGUGCAUACCAGAUUGGAUACACCUUUGACUUGAAUUCUCCACAAGCCAAUAAAAUCAUUCUUCCAUUAAUUUUUUUUUUUAACAACAUCAAACUCCACCAAGUUUAAAAAACACCAGCUACUGACAUAUAUGCUUUACAUAAACAGUAUCGUAUACCCCAAGUACAAACCGUUGGCUCUGAUACCACUGUUAGGAAAUUGAGCUUCCUCCCAAGAUCACUCCAAGCAAUUUAUCAAGCAACAAAUUAACAGAAAAAUUUAAUGGAGAAUACAUCAAUCACACAACACAAGAUUUACGUGGAAAACUCUAAAUCCGGAGAAAAACCACGGCCGUUGUCAAAAAGACAACCAGAGAAAAAUAUUCACUAUAUGGAAAAUUAUUACAACCACACUCUCAAAAAUAAUUUUCUCUCACCCAAGCCCCAAAUACAUAAUCCUGAGAAAUAUCCCUUAACAAAGCAAACCCGUAAUACCCAUAUUACGGAGCCAAAUGCUCCUUCAAUAUAACUACAUGCUUAAGAACUUUUCUCUCUCUCAAUUUCUCACCAAAACUUGGAUUCCUUCUCUGGGAUUUGGAUUGCUUCUCUCAAUGGCCAACAUUUCAUGUCUAUUUUCUUUAGCAAAGCCGAAGCUCAUUGCUACUCAUUUCUCAUCAAAUGACAUUCCAAUUUAUAGCCAAACUAUCACACCAAAAAUCUAAUAAGUCGGCAACAACUUUCUUCCUUUUUGACAAAUUCAUCAUGCGGUUCAAAAUUGCCAUUUUGCUUGUCAAAGUCCAUCCACCCAUUUGAAUGCAAUCAAUGUGUUCCCAUUUCACUUUUCCUUUUUUUUUAAUCAAUUUCAACAACCCUGACCCAAGCAUGACAGUCAAAAUAGAACUUGACAUGAUUAUUGUUGUAAGUAUCAGCAGCAAAAGCAGUCUUAUCGAAGCUACUGCUGUCGAGAAUUGCAACCACUGAAAGCUGUGGUUGUCCCUCAAUCAAUAAAUCAAACAACUCCUCUCUGCCGUUUUCAAAUUCACUCUUAUCAAGCUGUGAUUGUCCCUCAAUCAAUAAGUAAGUGAAUUCGUUCCUUCGUUCUCUGAAAUCAAAACCAUUGCCUUCAGGUGGAAUUUGUUGCAACCGAUUUCUAAUAUCAAUGAUUUUACUGUGGAUUCCGACAAGAAGAGCAAUGCAAGUAGUGCUUUCACUUUCACUGCUUUGCUGCUGCGUGAUGUUGAUGAAGAAUGUGUCAAUAGCUUUCUCUGAUUCACGGACAAAGGAAUUGAUGUCUCUCAGAAGUUCCCAAAUGCCGAUAACGCGAAGGUAUUUCGUCUUCAUCGAAAUGUUCUCUAAUGAGUUGAAUCAAAACCCGAGCCAUUUCAGCUUCAUAGUUUCCCAGCAGAGUAGUGGCUAUAAUUUCGGACUCCGUAAGAAGGUUUUGAAAAAGUGGAGUUAAAUUUGUUGAAUCAGGCAAAGUUAACGUGCCUUCUUCACCUGCUAACACCAGUUUCAACCUCUCACAAAAUAGUGUGAGGUUAAUUUCCAUAUCUUUCCCUCUCUCAGUAGUACUCAGAGGUACGUAUUGUUAUUUGUUAGUGUUGAUGACGAAAGCUGAAUAACAAAACAACAGUGUACACAAUCAACAGAAGCCAAAGUAUGUUAAUUUGAGAUCAAAGGAUAUAAAUAAAGGAAAAGUUUUCGUCGAUUGAGAAUGGAUGGAUGCAAAGAAUGACUGAUAUUAAAUGAUUUCUAUAAAUGAGACAUGCAAAGAAUGAAAUUUAAAGGUAACCCCCUUUUUUUUUUUUUUAAAGUACUCUAUUGAAAGCCAAAGUUCCUUUGGCCAAUUAAUUUAGAAGUGAAGGAAAGAAUAAAGUUAGUCCUUGAUGUCUUUUGAAAUUAGAAAUACAUUUUGAAUGCUUUAAUAGAUGCAGAGCAAACUGGCUCGAUAUCUACCUAUUUUUAGUGCUAAAAUCAUUUAAUAGAAGUUGUAGCAUUAAAAAAAAAAAAAAAAAAAAACUGGCUUGAUAUCCAAUUUUGUUAUUGAAUAUGUCUCAUGUGAGAGUAAAAAAAAACUGGCUUGAUAUCCAAAAUUUAAAGGUAACUCCUUGAAUUUGAUUGAAAAAUUAUUGAGACGGACAAGGCUGGACCAUUGUUCGAGACUGAAACUACACAUCAGUCUUAGAAAAUUGUAAUUUUGUUGGCUUAUCAUGAUUUUGAUCGUCUCACAUUGAUUUUCCUAUGAUGUCUCUGUCGAGUGGCUAUGCUUACAUUUUUAGGUAUUUAAUUCUAAAAAUUAACUUAUUAAAUGGAGGGACCAAUUCUACCUAUAAAUCCAAGUGGCUUCCCUUUACUAACUCAUAUGAGAUACAACAAUAAUUUUCUUUGGACAAAACCACUGUUGGAGGGUUAUUUUCGUUCAACAUACAUGAGUUGUUCCACCACCAUAUUUUGAGGGUUUGUUUUGGAUAUGACUUGGGGGAGCUAAGGCUAAGAUUUCUAAGUAUCAACAUAAAAACCUUGCCGGAAGGACCAAUCCUACUUUAAAGUCUAAAUGACUAAUUCUUGAGGACACAACUCAACAGCCCAAUAUAAACUUUUGACGUCCCAUUUUAUUACUUUCCAGUGCUUUUACUUUUGCUGUCUAGAGCCCUACCAUGCUAUUAAGCAGAAAAUAUUUCAAGGCACUCUCGGUCCAGUAGAUAACUUUGGUAUUUAUCAUCUAUUUUCUUUCCAUUUUAUGCAUACCCCGAUCUUUACCUCUGAUUGGUUGUAGAUUCUUUUGUUGCUUUGGGGUUAGGGGGUGGUUUUCAUAACUAUUCAGUUGAUCAAUGCAGAAAAUCACCAUCAAGAAAUUAUAAAGGAUUGUUAGUUCUAUCUGACAAACAACAUUAAUAUGAAGGAUGAUGAUUGUUCUGUUCAAGAGUUUAUAAUGACAUAAUUCUACUUUGGUCUUUUAAAAAAAGUAAUUUAGAAACGAGGAGUAUGUGAGUGAUGAUUUUUACAAAAUAAAUUACAUGCGUAGUGAUGAUUUUGACACAUGAAAAUGAAAAAAGAAAUAUAACUUGUGAAUAAUAAUUGAAGUACCUGCUAUUGUUAUAUUGAGUAAUCAAGGACUUCAAUAUUCGGACGAUAUAAGCAACACAAUCAAAUAUUAGUUGGAAGGCAUAGCAAAAUUAGAAUGUAGAACAAACUGGGUAUUGAUAAAUGGAUGGUUUUGGAAGAAUUGAAAAUGAUGGCAUAAGUAAACCAAAGUUUAGAGAAAAGAGAAAGAGCAUUUGAACUUUACUUGUAAGAAAAGGCAAAUAUCUUGGUUCAAGAAAAGAUAAGAGAUAUCAAACUAGCAAUAGGAAAAAGGAGGAAGGUUAAGACAGCAUCUUAACAAAAGCUAAAGAAAAGAAAAACUUAGUUCAAGCAAAGAACAAUGUGCUAAUGUCGUGUAAUCUUGUUUAAUUUCUUUUUCUUCUCACAUUUUCCAGGGCUUAAAUAAUACAAUAUACAUUUUCAAGCAAAGAACAAUAUGCAAUUGCAGUACUUCUGAGCACACAACAACAAAUAAAUAAUACAAUAUACAUACCCACUAAAUUAAAAAAAAAAUAUUAUCCAAGUUUGUGGACUAUAGCCAUGGCGUCGUCGAAAUCUACUGACAGCUGAAACAAAGAAAGAAUGGAUGAAUGCUGGAUCACAGUUGAAAUUGAAGGUCUGGUAGGUGAUGUUUCCCUCUCUGAUUUUCCCUAAACAAAUACAAGAAAAUAAGAAUCACAAAUGAAAAUCUGCUAUUACACUGUUCUUACUUAUUAAAAUACAGAGGUUUCUUUGUUUCUCUGCAGCAAUGUCCAUGGCUAUUAGAAACAAGAACAAUUAGACCAGCAUUUGUAAGAAUCCUUUAAGGUAUUACUGCAGAUAUAAAUCGACUGAGGAAAUGGAAAAAUUGAAUACCAAAUUAGGCAAGUUAACUGAAGAUUGAGUUAAUCAUAGAAGAAUAAAACUCAUCCAAUUCAAUCCAUCAAAUUCCAUAAGGGUACAACUGGAUGUCAUACUGCUGCUCCAUAUCCUCAAGAGCCCGUAGAUUUUGCCUCAACUCUGGCUGAGGCCAAUGUAAGUCCAAUUUGCAAAAGCUCUUUAUGCACCAUAGCUCUUCAGGAAGCUUUCUCAAGUAAGCACAAGGGUUGACAAUUAUGCUUCCAAGUUUUGGCAUUGCUCCAGCCCCUAUCGUCCACUCCUCUAGCAAAUACAUUGAUUUCAGGUGCAAUACCUUGAGCUCCGGGAAACCACAAGAGCAAACACAAGCCAGUUUUCUUCCUGAAUAUGAGUUCUGGUUCAAUUUCAGCACUUGAAGGUGUGGAAGCUUGUCUAGUGUUAGCAUGGUAUCCUCCAAUAACUCAGUAUUUGAUAAGCUUAGAUGGAUCAGACUUGGAGAAGCUGGUAUUUAGACAGGGCCAUCCGAGAGAGCUACCACCUCUGGUUUCGUUCACCAGCUUCAAGCAUUCAAGUUUGUGUAGUUCGCAUAGGCUUUUGGAAACCCCAGAACGAUAAUAACUCAAAUCUCCAGAUACUAAGAGUUUGAAAAUGAGGUAGUCUG
rnacentral:lncRNA from 1 species